GCCUUUUUACUCAAUCUCCUAAUAUAACACUAGUACAUAUUAUGCAAAGGAAUCCAACAGAACAAAAGCAUCCUGCGAAAUACACAUAAUCAAACAGUUAAAAAAGUAAGGAAAAGGAAAAGAUACCUUAACUUCCAGAUGCCAUGCCAUCGGAAAUGGAGGUUGAUGAAAUACUUCCCCUUGAAGUUUGAACAAAUCGCUGGGCUGUAAGCAUCUUGUUGCAACCAAAGUCUUUGUCCUGCUCCACAUCACUAAAAUACACAUCCCCAACAGCAAUACCUCACCCUUAAUACCUUUUUCUUCUCACAAUCCCUAUAUCCUAAUCUACAAUAUUCCUCAGUUCCUUUAAAUUUAACUAACGCAAAAUUCAAAACAACAAAAAUAAAAUAACAACUGAAACUCAAGCUAAUUUUGAAACAAUGCAAAAAAAUAAAAAAUAAAAAAAUAAAAAUAAAAGGCUAAAAAGUUGUAGAAAUUUGAAACUCAAACAAAGCAACUAAAAGCAAAAUAACAUUAUAUAUACAUUUUACACACAUUUUAUACCAAAAAGAAAAAGGAAGCUCCUGAGCAUACCAAGCCUCGUCGGAGGAAUCACCAAAACCGUUGGAUUGGUCCAUCAUAAACAACUCCUCGUAAGAUACUGCAAAAUCAUGGCCAUUGACUCCUCCAAAAACUUCACGAUAGUCAAAACCGGAGCUUCGUACAUCGAAGAAAACCUCGGCUACUUCAUUGCAGGCCAAUGGGAGAUCGAGGACAGGAAUGGAGGAGGCUCGUGACUCGUGGAAACCGCCAAAUAUCUCGCUGUAAUCCUCGACCCGAGGCGACAGAGUCGGGGCUCCGAACUUAGGCGGGCCACCAAACACGUCGUCGUAAGUGAACUUAUUAGUGCUGCCAUUGCAGCUUCUCUUGGAGACUAUGUUUGGUUGGCGAGAAUGUGAUAGAUUUUCCAUGCAGAUGAAGGAAAACGGAGACACAGAGCUCUAGGAACGGACGGAGAUACAGGCACACAGCUCUUCUUUGUUACUUUGCUCUGUUCUGUGUGCUUUUCUCUCUCCUCUUUCUCUGCACAGUCUGAAACAGAGUCGGAAAAAUGAAAAGGGAAAGGAAAAUAACAAAAGCCAAAAGAACAAAAAGGCCAGUUUGAAAUGACAAAAUAGGACUUGAAAUUAUUGUGUGGGAAACUCCUUUUCCAAAUUCUAGAAACUUCAAAAUCAAGCAAACUCCUCUUCCAAAAGUUCAUUUAAUAAUUUUGUUUUUUUUAAAGUAAAAUGAAGUGUAUUUGUGAAUAAUUAAAUCACCUUAGAUGAAUGUUAUAACUUUAUUAAUUCUGAAGAGGCCUUAAGGUAAUUUAAGAACUUUUAAUUUUUUAAUUUUUUUCUCAGUAAUUUUAAUGAUAAUUGCAUGUCACAAUAAAAGUGGACAUGACCGAAAAAAUGUUGAAAUCGUAAAAAAUAAUCUCUAUUGAUUUUAUGAAUUAACAAAAAUAUUAUUAAAAAUUUUAAUUUUAUCAAUUAAAAAUGGAGCUAAGUCUUGAGAAGACAUGAAUCUUGGAAACCACCUGUCUUAUACCCAUUAAACCUUUUUUGUCAUAAUACUCUUCAAAGUAAUUUAAUUUUUAUUGGUCAUAUUAAUUCUAUUUAAAUCUAAAUUUUAUAUAGUAUAUAAGAUUUAUAUUAAAUUUGGUAAGAAUAUAAUAUUUUAAUUUUAUUAGUUGAAAAAAAAUUGUUUAAUUUUGAUUAGUUAAAUUAAUUUUCUAUCUAAAUCUAUAUUUUAUUGGAUAAACUAAAAAAUAUAUAUUUUAUACUAAAUAAGUUAUAUAUUAAAUAUGAUAAAAAUAUAAUAUCUUUUAAGAAUUUUAAUUAUUGAAAAAUGAAUAUAAUUUAAUUUUUUAUUGGCUAUAGUAAGAUAUAUAAUAAAUAUGGUAAGAAUAUAAUAUAUUCGAUUUUUUUUUUUUUGAACUGGUCAAGUAUUAUUUUUAAUGUAUCUUUAAUUUGAUUGGUUAUAAUUAUUUUCCUAUAAAUAAUUUAAACUACAAAGAAUAAAUGUAAGUUAUUAUCAUUUAUCAAUAAAUAUCUUAUAUAGUAUUUAUUGUUUGAUAUAAAAUGAAAAUAAAACUCACCACAAAUAUAUAUAAAAUAUAAAGUUAUGAUACAACAUGUUAUAUUAGCAAACCAUUAAUCUUGAAAGAUUUUUUUUGUAAAAAAAGUAACUAUAAAAUUAAUUAUAUAUGCUCAUGGAAUUUAGUAAAAAGUGUAAAAAAAAAAAAAAGUAUCAAAAUUAUAAAUGAUAAUAGUUAUCUAUCUAUGAUAUGUAUUAUUCUAUAACAUAACUUCAGAACAUAAUAAGUCAACUUAAGCUAAUCCUCAUUUUGAGAAAAUUUUCUCACGUGGUAUCUCAAUUUAUUUUAUUUAUUUAUUUAAUAUAUUUUUAUUUUUAGUGUUUAUUUACUUUAUUAUUUUACACUUUUAAAUAACUUAUUUUGGGAAUUAAUUCUUUUUUAGUUAAUUUGUGUUGCUAUUUCCUUAAUUCGUCUGAACCCCAAUAGACAAUAACAAGAAAUAGAUUUCUCGAUGUACAUAUUGCAUUAAUAACGGACCUGUUCUUCAUAAUGGAAAAAUCAUUGGUAUAAAAUUAUAUUUUUUCUUGUUUUUAAUUAAUACAAUAAUAAAAAUUUAUUAUUUUAAUUGAUAAAAUAUAGAAGCUAUUCUUGUUUUCUCAUAUUUUAGUAAUAUGGAUAGUUUAUGUUAUUAUAUUAUACAUGAAAAAAAUUAAGUUAAUUAAAUUUAAAUUAUUAUAAGAAAACUUAAAUUGCUUAAUGAAUAAUUUUAUUUUCAGAAAUUUAGUUGUCCAAUUAUAAUAAUUUUUAUAAAUAUAUUAUUUUAUUAAUAAGUUAUUUAGUUAUUGAAUUUUUUAUAGUAUUAUUUUGUGACUACUAUUAGAUUUUUAGUAAUAUAAAUUGUUCAUGAUAUUAUAAUUUAUAUUAAAUUAAUAGAAAAUUAUAUAAUAUAUAUAUAUAAAUUAAAUUACAUUUACUUGAAACGGUAAAAUCAACAAGUACAAAUAACGUGCAAAUACAAGUUCAAGAAACCUACUAUAUUUAAAUAGAUAAAUAUAAUUUUGAUAUGUGUAUAAUACAUUUUUUGAAAUAAUAAUUUUUACAUUUUAACUAUCCUUUAAAUGACCGAUUUUAUUUUAUAAAUUGAGGUGUUUAAUAAGACAAAUAAAGUAUUAACAUGUUUAGUUUUUAUAAAUUAAACUGUUCAAUUGUCAAAACAAGAGUUUAUAGUGUCACAAAGUUUUUUAUAAAAAAAGUAUGGGGUGAAUUUAUGUAUUCACUCAACUUAAAUACAUAUUUAAAUUCAUACAUGGGAAAAACUCAACCUCCCGAAUAAUUGAACUAAUUCUAAAUUUUCAAAAUAUCUUUCAUUAUUAUAAAUUUUCAUAAAAGAUGUAGGGAGUGAGAGAUGUUGAGUUCGAGUCCUCUCUACCACAAAAAUCAUCACCAAUUUGGUGAAUGUCAUUCAAAGGAGAGGGCUACCCCUACUGCAUAGUCCACAAUAUUAUUCUGGUUUAUUGAGUCUCACAUGUAUCUAAAAAGAAUGACCAGAACUUUAUUCCAAAUAUACCUAUUUGAUUUAAGCCAAGUGAAAAGGUCUUAAAUUCGAGUCAUCUCCAUUCCAAAAUUUUAUCACCAAUUUGAUUAAUAUUAUUGAAAGUAGAGGAUUAUUCCUGCAGUAUAAUCCACAACAUACUUCCAAUCCUUUAAACAUGUUAUAAAUCCAAAAAUAUACAUACAGGUUGAGUUAAGUGGUUUAAUCAUGUUAUAAAGGAUCGCGUAACUCUUUGUAUUAGCAAUUUCUUUGAAAAAAUUGUGGGAUGGUUCCACUCCUAUAUCUGUUUCCUUAAAGAAUUUCUCCUCUUCUCUCCAAGGGUGGCAUCGGUCCAUGUUUGGCAAUAUUUUUGCCAAUAAAAAACAAUUGUGGAAUAAACUUGCUGGUAUUCAGAGGUGUCUCGCCUUUAGAGUGACCCCCUAGACUUUUGAGAUUGGAAAGUAAGUUACAAAUUGAGUUGAACUCCGUUCUUCUUCAAAAAGAGUUGUUCUAGUUCUAGAAAUGCAAGGAAGAUUAAUUGGUUUUGGGUGACCGUAAUAUAAAUCAUGCUUCUAUUUUGGCUCGCAAGAAAAGGGUAGCCAUGCCUCUUUAGUUUUUGAAUCUGGUUUGACAUUGACAAUGAAGUGUAAAUUAAAUUAAUUAAUACGAGUUUCUUUCAUAAUCUUUAUCCCUUGGAUUCAUUGUUGUGACUUGUCCGAUGUGCAGCAUGGGCUUUUUUUUGUCUUAGCGCAUGAACCUGUUACUAAGUUUGAUGGGGCCUUUUCUGGGGAGAAGGUUGUUAGAAGAAUAAAUUGUACAAGGAAAGGAUUGACCUCCUUAAUGAUAGGAUCAAUCUUUGUACAGUAAAAGGAAAGGAUUGACCACCUUAAUGGAAGGAUCAAUCAUUUCCUAAAUUAGACGAUACAGGAUCCCUAGAGUUAUAUUAAAUUGUCUAAUAAGAUAAGAGUUGUAUAUAGAAAAAAAUUAAAAUGAGAAUUGAAACCUCUUCUUCAAACCUAAAACUCUAAAUUUAAGAUGGUAUCAGAGCAGUAUCGAUCCUAGGGUUCGAUUACUUGUUCAUCAUUUACCAACAACUUACCUGUCCAGCGACAUGAGUGAUGAAGCCAACAACAGUGUUAAUUCGGCACUGACUGAAGCCACAGAAGCCUUGUCAACACAGAUUGCCUAGUUGUUAAAACAACAUCCCACAAUUCAAUCAAACAGUAACCAAAUAGCCUCAAUCAAUAUUAAACUAAAUGAUCACAACUACUCCUUGUGGCCAAGACUGAUGCGAUUGGCCAUCGGUGCAAGGGGACGAUUGGACCAUAUCACGGGAAAUUCCCCACCUCCAGCCACAGAAGACCCAGUGUUUGCCAACAAAAAGAUCUCCAAGUUUUUUCAUGGAUCAUCCAAGCCAUUGAACCGGACUUAGUUAGCCAUACGUCGAAUAUCCGAAGGCCAAAGACCUGUGGGAUGGUCUGGCGGCUCUGUACCGGAGUGGGGAAGAUGCGUUGCAAAUCUUCAACCUAAUGAUAAAAGCAAAUAGACAGCAACAGGGGCAACUAAUACUGGAAAAAUAUUACAGUAUUUUUUAAGCAAUUUGGCGAGAAAUAGACAAAAGAUAACCCAAUUCAAUUAUAAGCACAACAAAUAUUUCUACAUUUAACAUAUUAAAGCAAGAAAGUUGACUGUACCAAUUUCUCGCCGGAAUGGAUGAUCGAUUUAAUUCGGUCAAGCGUGAUUUACUGAAAGAAAUUCCCUUACCAUCCGUUGAAGCAGUGUAUGCUACUGUCCAAAGGGAGGCCGCCCGGAUGAACAUACUCAGUCCAUCAGCAGCCAUGGAUAAUGGUGCAACUCUAGGCAUUGGUAGCAGGUUAGCCACAAGAGGACAGGGGGAGAGGUCCAGGUUGAUGGUGAAGAAAAACAUCCAGGUGCAUAGUGAAUCGCAGAACGAUCAGACUUGGCAAACGGAGCAGCAAGUUCAUUAUUUCAAGGGAAAAUUGAUCGAAGCGGCCUCAAGUGUUCUCAUUGCAACCUAACCGGAACAUCAAGGAUGAAUGCUUUCAUCUCAUUGGUUUUCUUGAAUGGUGGAAGGACAACCCGAAAAGGAGAAAUCGCGACCGGGGGAAAAGGUGGCCGAGCCGCCGCCGUGAUGAGCAACCAGGAGGUCGUCAGCAUUAACAGCAGCGGCGAAGGUGGAGGAUUUGCUGCCAUUGGAAUAGGAAGAGGGGCGGCCGAAGCAAAUGGGAGAGGAGAAAGAGAUGGGACAAGUAUAGGGUUUGGGAAGGGAAAAUUACCUCCAAAUCCUUCAAUUCUUAAUCUUAUUUAUUUUGCACCUAAUUGUUUUGAUCUACUUGACUUAAGUACUGAAAGUUCUGAUUAUAUGCAAUCAAGUCCUGAUUCCUUUAAAACAAUUCAGAUUGACCCCAGAUGUUUUGAGAAAAAAUAGAAAAAACCUAAAAAAAAUAGAAAUCAUUCUCGGGGUAUGAGAAAAAAUUUAGGUAGGUCAAAAAUAAAUAAAUACCCCUCAGCCUAUAUAGCCCAAGAACCGAAGCGUGGAAAAAAUACUCAAUGGUUAUUUGACUGUGUGGAAACUGAUACCAUGACCUAUGAUCCCUCUGAUAUUAUUAUCCUAUCAGCUCCAGAAAAAUUUAAAAUUCAGACUGCCAGUGGAAAUUUUGUACCUGUUAAAGGGGCAGGUUCCAUAGAGUUAUCCCCAACCCUGAAAUUGUCCAAAUGUCACUAUGUCCCAUCAUUGUCUUGUAAAUUGCUAUCCGUUAGUCAAGUGACAAAAGAAUUGAAUUGCACGCUUCUAAUGCAUCCGAAUUUUUGCCUUUUACAGGACAUCCAGACACAGGAGAUCAUUGGGCAUGGCAUUGAAUACGAUGGUUUGUACUAUAUCGGUAAAGUGGCUCAAAAAGGGUCCGCACUACUAGCUCAUGGAUGACUGGUCGACAGAGUUGGUUGUGGCACCGACGAUUAGGACACCCAUCACAUGGUUACCUCAAAAUCCUUUUUCCUUAGUUUCAUAAUAAUACUCCUCAUGAUACUUGUGUUUUGGCAAAAAGCCAUAGGAAACCUUUUUUUUUUUUUUUUUUAGUAACACUAGGGUUGCACAUGCAUUUGAUUUAGUACACUCUGAUGUAUGGGGUCCUGCUCCGAACUCUGGAAAUAAUGUUUUUAAGUAUUUUGUGUUAUUUAUUGAUGAUUGUGCUCAUAUGAUGUGGGUAGAUUUUUUAAAACACAAAUAUGAGGUUCCACAGAAAUUUAAGCAUUUUUACAAUCUCAUUCGUACCUAAUUUCAAAAACAAAUUAGAAUACUCAGAUCUGAUAAUGGGGGAGGGGGGGAAUUUAUCAAUCUUGCCAUGCAAACCUUCUUUCAGGAAAAUAGGUUAGUACACCAAACCACUUGUCCAAACACCCCACAACAGAAUGGUGUAGCCGAACGAAAAAACAGAAUCCUUCUUCAAAUCACCCGAGCCUUAAUGCUUGAAUCUCAAGUUCCUCAAUCUUUUUAGCCUGAAGUUGUAGCCACUGCAGUGUACCUUCUUAACCGUUUACCCACUAAGAUACUUAACCUAAAAACCCCUCUACAAUCUCUCCCUGAACACACCCAAGUGCCCCCAGCCUUAGCACUAUCACCUCGAAUUUUUGGAUGCUCAAUCUUUGUUCAUAUUCCAAAGACUGAACGUUCAAAAUUUGAUCCCUACGCAGUCAAAUGUAUCUUUGUGGGAUAUGGGAUUAACCAAAAAGGCUACCGCUGCUAUAACCCUAAAACCCGUCGUAUGUACACCACAAUGGACUGCGACUUUCUUGAAUAUUUUUACCACAUCCAACACAGUGGUCUGGGGGAGAGUAAAAUAAAAAUUGACCCACUGAGUUGGUUACUCAGUCCAACUUUGUCUAUCGGUGAAUCCAACAAAAAAGCUAAUGGAUUCAUUGAGUGUGGAUCCGCUGAGCCUACUUCAGAUAAUAUAGAAACUAUCGAAUUCAUUUACACACCUAGGACUCCACAGUUGGAUGUCCAGGAGGUAAGUACCCAAGUUUAUAAUGAUGUUACUUCUACUUCACAUUACUCUGAACAUGUACAUGCAGCUCCUGAGAUAGAAGUAGUUGAAACUACAGGGAGAUAUAUUAUUCCUUAUAGAAGCACCCGGGGUAUACCUCUGAAGAGAUACUCUCCAGAACAUGAACCUAGAACGUCCAGAUAUCUAGUGGCUAACCUUGCCAGGGGGAGUUUGUCCGAAGUAGCCAAAGUGUUCACAACAAUACUAUCCACUGAAGCUAUUCCUAGAACAGUACAGGAGGCUCAACAAAAGAAGGAAUGGAGACAGGCUAUGAAGUUAAAAUGGAGGCUCUUGAAAAAAAUGGAACCUGGCAAAAGUGCAAACUACCUAUUGGAAAGAAGACAGUUGGGUGCAGAUGGGUUUUUACAGUGAAGCAAAAGGCAGACAGAACCAUAAAAAGAUAUAAAGCUUGACUUGUGGCAAAGGGAUACACUCAGAUAUAUGGAGUGGAUUACUCAGAAACAUUUAGUCUAGUAGCAAAAAUUGAUACGAUCAGGAUAUUGUUCUCAGUGGUGGCAAAUUUAGAUUGGCCACUUCAUCAAUUUGAUGUGAAAAAUGCCUAUCUUCAUGGUGACCUCAAGGAAGAAGUAUAUAUGGAAGCACCAUCAGGGUUUACCAAGGGAUUUCAACAGGGCGAAGUAUGACGACUGAAGAAGGCAUUAUACGGGCUAAAACAAUCACCUAGAGCAUGGUUUGGAAGAUUUACUGUUAUGAUGAAUCGCUACGGGUAUCGAUAGAGCAACUCGGAUCACACUUUGUUUCUAAAGAGAAGAGGAGAGCCGAUUACAUGCCUAAUUAUCUACGUCGAUGACAUGAUCAUUACAGGUAAUGAUACAGAAGAAAUUGCACAUCUCCGGGGAAACUUGUUUAAAGAAUUUGAAAAUGAAAGAUUUGGGGGGACUGAAGUAUUUUUUGGGAAUCGAGGUACGAAGAUCAAAUCAGGGGAUUUUCAUAUCUCAGAGAAAGUAUAUCAUUGAUCUAGUAACUAAGAUUGGAUUGAUUGACUGUAAGCCAGCUAAGACCCCUAUAGUGGUGAAUCAUGGUCUAAAAAUAGAAGAGGAAGCAGACAUAACAGAUCGUGAGAGUUACUAAAGACUAGUAGGGAAGCUCAUCUAUCUCUCACACACUAGACCUAACAUGUCAGAGUAGUGAGCCAGUUCAUGCACAAGCCACAAGUGAAACAUAUGGAUGCUGCCUUGAGAAUUGUACGAUACUUGAAAGGGUCACCAGGGAAAGGAAUCAUGUUCAGGAAAAAUGUACACUUGGAGAUACUUGGGUAUACGGAUGUUGAUUGGGCUGGGAAUCCAGUAGAUAAGAGAUCGACAUUAGGAUAGUUUUCUUUUAUUGGUGGGAACCUUGUAACUUGAAAAAGCAAGAAGCAGAAAGUUGUAGCCCUAUCUAGUGCAGAAGUAGAAUUCAGAGGAGUAGCUCGGGGAUUAGCAGAGCUAUUAUGGAUUAAGAAGUUACUAACUGAGAUUGGGUUUCCACCUCAGAGUACAUGUCAGCUUAGGUGUGAUAACCAAGCUGCAAUUAGCAUCUCAGAAAAUCCAGUGCAACAUGUACUCUGAUUUUAAUUUUAUAUUUGAUUGCAAUGUUCGUAAGAAAUUUAAUAUUCUUCAAUCAUGAAAUUGAUUUUAUAUAUUUGUUUGCAACGUUUUCUAUUACUUUUGUAAGGGAUUUAGUAUUAUUCAAUAGGUUACAUUAAAUAGGGUGGAGAUGAAGUUUAAACUCGGACGUAAGAAUCGUUGACUUGACAAUUCGAUCAAGACUUGGCUUGUUAAGUUAUAUUAUGAUUGCACUUGAGUAAAAAAAAAAUGUCAUCGACUUUUAGACACGAAAUUUCUUAUUUUGAUAGUAAAAUUAGACAGAAGUAAGAAACUACACAUCUGAACGCAAGGGAGCUAUGUGUUAGAUGAUGGAGGCGAUUGCCCUCUUCUAUUAAAAAAAAAUAUUUUUCCCUUCACAGCAAAAAAGGUUCAGACCCUAACCAAAUAAGUUUUUUAACACACUCUCAAUUAUUUUGUCCCCUUGCAUCUUUAUAUAUUAUUUCUUUAACAAACUUCUAUAUUAGUUUACACCCUUUAUUUUUAAAUCCUACCUUCGCCCCAAUUUGAACGCUGGAAUUUAUGAAACUCGGUCAUUAUAUAUAUAUAUUAAGGUUCAAUUUGCUCCUUAAACUUGGACACAACAUAUAAUUUGCCCAAAAAAUUAAUUUUUUAUACAAUAUUCCCCUUGAACUUGUACCAAAAGAAUAAAAUGCCCAAUUUUUUAAGAAAAACUUUUUUUUAGUUUUACCUAAUAAAAAUUACUUAAAAUUUUAAAAUUAGAAAAUAAAAUUAUUUAAAAAUAUAGUCAUAAUUAUAAAAAUUUAGAGUAUUUGAUUUAAAAAUAAUUAUAAUGCUUUUUGUCCUCACAUUUAUAUAUGAGUAUUAUUAACAUAUAAAAUUCAGAAAAUAACAAAAAGAAAAAUGUUAUUAGAUAUAUACCUAUAUGGGAUGAAAUAAUUCUAGUAAAAAGGACAAAAUCAUUGAGAACUAGCAAGGGAUCUACCUGAUUAUAUCAACAUUAAAGGCAAAAUGUUAUUUUUUGCCUAUAUUAUGAUUUUUUGGACUUGAAGUCUAUUAAAAAUUGUAUAUGAUUAUGUGAGAUUUUUCCAGCUGGAAGAUCCUAAUCAUUCAAUCACUACUCAAUUCAAUGGCAUCACCUACUAUACAUGUUUUGUUAAUUAAUCAUCAUAUGACCUUAUAGUAGUAAUAAUGAUAAUAAUUACAAUAAUAAUAAUAAUUUCUCAAAAAUAAUUAUAAUAGUAACAAAUAAUUAAUAAUGUAUUAAUAAAAAAAAACACAGUUGAUAUUAGAGAUGACUAUUUGAUUGAUUCAGUUUAUAAAUUAAAUCGAGUGUAAAUAAUUAUUUAAUCAUUUAAAUUCGUUCAAAUUUGUAAUUUUUCUUUCUUAUUUGGCAAUUACAUUUAUUAGUCUACAAGAUUUUGUCUGUCAAAUAUUUAGUCUUUUUAUCUAAAAAGUAUCGUUGUAAAGGUAAUACAUCAUAUUUAAUAUUUAACUAUUUCGUUUUUCAUUUUUUAAUAUAACAUUACUAUUUGAUCAUCCACUUAAUAAUAAAAAAAAAAGAAGUAAAUUUUAUACGGACUAAAUAGUUUAACGAAACUUCACGAAUUAAUUAGUGUAUUUAACAAAUAACAAGGGUGAAGUUGUAAAUGUGAUUUAUUUACUGAAUAUAAUAUCCAAUAUAAAUAAAUAGGAUAGAUUAUCAUUAUUAUUUAUAUUAUUUUCAAAUAAGGUAUAUAAAUUACUUAGUGAAUCAAUACAUAUCGUGAUUUCUAAUUUAUUUUAAAUAAUUUUUUCAAAUUUUAAAUUAAAUCAAAUGCUACUUUAUUUAUAAUUUUCUACUUAAAAAUAAAUAUAUCAAAUUUAUAAAUAAAAGCAAAUACUACCUAAAUCAUCUUUUUUUUUUUUUGAUAUAUGGGAGGCCCAACAGAUCUAAAUAAUAUUCUGAGCACUCGAACUCAAGACCUCUCACUUUCUGCAUCUACUACGAGAGGUAAAAAGACCGAUUAGACCACACCUGAUUAACAUGGUUUUUUUUUUUUUUUUUUUUUUUUUUGAAAAAGACAAUAUAAAAAAAAUAGUUGGAGAAGAGGUCCAUUCACAUACCAAAUCCAAUAAUUACAUAAAGCUAAGGUUAGAAGAGAGAUUAGUUGUUGACAUUCAAUUUUUCAAAAAAAAAAAAAAAAAGGAAGGGUAGAGAGUCCAUGACUACAACGUGGCUAGCAUGCAUGCAUUAGGAAGGUUUUGAAUAUUUGAUGGUGACAUUAAGAUUAUGCCAUUAAAGUAGCUGUCCUCGACCCCCUAUUGGGACAUUUUCUUCAUUUCAUAUAUGCUCAUGGUUUCUAACAAGGGAAAAUUAUAACUUUAUCCAUACAAUUUUUUAAAAAUAUCUGCGUGGUUUGGUUCAAAUCGAUCUAUUUUUUAAAAAUUUAACUUCUCGAAAAAUAGAGUUUUAGGAAAGUUACUUUUUAGGAAAUAGAGUGCGAUUGUGUUUGGUCGAUAUAUCGAAUUCCCAGAAAGUAAAACUGAGUUAAUAAAAUGUGAGAUUAUAAAUGAUAAAAAUACCCCUCAUAUAUAAUAAUUGAAAUAUUUCAUUGAAAAAAAUUUAAUAACCUAAAAUAUUUCAUUCAAAAAAAUUUAAUAAAACACGUUUUAUACGAUCCAUUAGCUUGUAAUCAAUAUAACUUUUUAAUUACAUAUUGUACAAGAUAUUAUUAUAAUUUUAUUUAUUUGGUUAAUGUUCUAAUUACAAACAAAAUAAGAAUAAUAAUUCUCUAAAAAAGUUUAAUAAGGAAAGAGCAUGUGUUUCAUUUACCUCCAACCAAACGAGGCCAUCAUUUUGAUUCUGUAUUUUGAAAAAUAGACUAUUUUAUCUCUAUAUUUUUCUUUCCUUAUAUACUACUUUGGGUCUGUUCGGUAAAAUUAACUGUUUUGGUAGCUGUUAGUUGUUUUAAUAGCAUCUAACUAUUAGCUGUUUGAGUAAUUUUUUUAUAAAAUGCUAAAAGUUAAACGUUAUAUGAAUUAACUUUUCACAAAAUACUACAUUAACCUCUAAAAGUUAGUUUAAAUGUUAUGUUAUCGAACACUAUAAAAAGUAGCUGGUCAAAACGCUAAAAGCUAUUUAAAAAGCUGUUGUCGAACACAAUCUUUAUCAUUUUCUCUAGUUAAGAGAUAUAAUAUUCCAUUAAAUGCUUUGUGAAAAGACAUAAAUACUCUUAAAUUCUGCUCUAUCCAUUUUACUCAUCAACACAUAUCCCUUCUUCUUCUCUUCCUUAUUUUUCUUCUUUUGGAUCAAUUCCUUCAACUCAAAUCAAUCAAUAAAAAAACCCAUGAGAUUUGGACUUGCAAUUUUUUUCAAUUACCUCCUUUUUUCUAAGAAAUCAAAUCAAAAACUCUACUUGAAACCAAAAAACCAAAUAUAAUAGUUACAUUAUCAAUCUUAGCAGUAAAGUAAUUGUUAGAGGUGGGUUUACGAUCACCAUCAUCAUCAUCCUCACCUUCUUUCUUUACUUUAAUUGGCAUGGGGUUGUUGCAGCAAUUAGGACCAUUUUAUUUAGAGAAAAUAGUAAAUGGAAUGUGUUUUGAGAGAGAUUUGCAAAAUUAGAUCAAUUAAAUAUUUAUUAUAUAAUUCAAAAUAUGAAAAUUAUUAUUUCAAAAGUUAUACUAACUUCUUAUCGAAUUAAUACUUUGCAUAUAAGAGCUAAAUACUAAAAAUUAUUGCUAUUAGUAUGAAAAAACAUGUAAUAUUAUCAAAACUUGCAAGUUUAAGACCAUGUUUAGUAUGAUGUAAUCAAUCAUGUAAUGGAAUGAGAAUUACAUUAUAUGAUUGAUUAUAUUGUUUGGUUUGACUAUUUUUUAAUACCGAAAUAUAAUUGAGAUUACAUAUGCGAUCUUUAUUACUUGAAUUGAUGUAAUAUUCAUUACAUAAAAAAAAAAAAACACAUGUAAUAUCAAUUACAUCAAGUCGCCAAUUAAAACUCUACACCACCACCAUUUAUACUUAUAAACUAUUUGGACUAGAAAAUUAAAAAAAUAAACAGAAAAAUGUAAUGUAACAAACUAAAAGUUAAAGUCAUUAUUAAUAUUUUCAUAUAUUUUCUUUGAAUUAAUUAUAAUACAAUAUAAAAUUAAGGGCAUUUUACUACUUUUGGUAUUUUUAUUCUAUUUUUUCCAUUUCCAUAAUAAAAUAAAAAAAUAAAAUAAACUUUUUAUUCUAUAUUACAUAUUGAACACUAAAAUAUGUUUUUAUUAUGUGGUAGUGAUGGAGUGAUGGUUGUGGGGUGGUAGUUAUGCUGUGGUGGUAGUUAUGCGAUGGUAGCCAAGUGGUCGUUGAGGUGGUCUAGAGUGGUGGUAGAGUAGUUGUUGCAAUUGGUGUGAUGGUGGCGGUGGUGGCAAAGUGUGGUCGUUGCUGCCUCAAAUGUUAGUUUUGUGCUGAUUUAGUUUACCGUCAUGUGGCCCACAACCGCCCAUCAUGUAUGUGAUGUGAUGUGAUGACCUGACCUGACCUGACCUUGGCGAAAGCCAAAGCCAAAGCCAAAAUUAACACAUGCGUGGCCCUUCCUAAAAUAAGAACAACAAUCUGAGACUAUAUAUUUUGUACCCUAUGAAUACAAUUCAUCAUCAAGUAUAUUGUUCCAAUGCCUAAUUGUGUUUCUAAUAAUAAAUGCAAUUGGGAAAGGACGAAGGUGUGAUUGGGGAAUUUUUAUCCUCCUAUCAUUUUCUUUUAAAUAGUAGUAUAUUGUGCUACAAUUUAAAAGAUCUUUGUUAGUUGAAACAACAAGAUAUUAUCAUUCAUGAUAGCAACUAAAAUAUAAAAUCUUUUUUUUUUUUUUUUUGAAAAGGAACUAAAAAUCUUAAAAUACAAUCAUAUUAACAAAGCAUUUGUUUUAAUUAAUAAAUACAAUCACAUUUAUCUUUUAGAUUAAGCCUAAGUUUUUUAUUAAAUUAUUUCAGCAUAAAAUCUAAUUCAUCUUGCAAUUCAAUUUGCUCUAAUGCAAAGUGGUGGAGGCGUAUAAGUGUAUUAGAAAAAUUGCCCGUUGUCCGCUCUAUUAUCAUCCUUAGCUAGACGUGGCUACGGUUCCGAAACCGUCGGUUUCGGUUCUAAAAUUUUUUGAAACUAAAACCGAACAAAAAAUUAACGGUUCCGGUUACGGUUUAGAACCGAAUGGUUCCGGUUUCUUAACGGUUCCAAAAUCGACAGUUUUGGUCGGUUCCAAUCGGUUUUGGAGGGUUUCGAUUAGAACUGAAACAGUCGAUUCCGACUGAUUUUUGGGAACCUCCAGUUUACAAUUCCAAAACUGGUGGAACUAGAACCGAACUAAUAUGGACCGGUUUUGAUUCCCACCGGUUCGAAACCGACGUUUCUGGUUCCGAAAAUCGGAUUUUGGCCACCCUUAUCCCUAGCUAAUUGAGGUGUAAUUAUUAUUUUAAAUAGUCAUACUAUUAGAAAACUGAAUAAACAAAUGUAUUAUUCAUCAUGUUGAUAUUCGUUAAAAAAUGUAUUACUCACUAAACAAAACUGAAUAAACAAAGUACUAUCAAAUUUGAUGAAAAUCAAUAUAAGGAAUAUAAUCUAAAUAUAUAUUCAAAAUAAUAAAAGGAAAUUACAUUAAUUUUUAAGUCAGUAUAUAAGAUUAAUUUAAUAUUGUAUGUUCUUUAAAAAAAUUAAUAUUUUAUGAAGAAAAUUUUUUUAAAUCAUCAGUAUCCGAACUCUUUUAUCAAAGACCGUCUAAUCAAUUUAAUCAUAAUUAAGACUGUUAGCUCCUUCUUACAAUCAAAAAGAAAUCUUUAAUAAGAUAUGAAUAAGAUGUCUCAUUUGUUUGGAAGAUUCUCCGAGACAAAACAAUAAAAAGGAUAGAUUCUUGGAAUUAGAAUUUAGUACAGUUUCUUUUGAUUACUUUGCCAUGUCUCCAAUUUAGCCCUCAAUUAGCCUAAAUAUCAAUUUUAAAGUAUUAAUGUCUCUCACUUUUUUUUUUUAAAUUAUUAUUGGAACUCUUAGUUUAGUUCCCACUUUUAGAAAGUAAAAAUAUAAAAUCAAGCCCAAUUUUUAAAUUAAUUCUCAAAUUAAAUAAUUACAACAAUUUGAUAUCAUUAAACUAUCAGCAAUUUUGAAUAUUAAGAGAUGAAGAUUCUAACUUGAAUUUAUAUUUUAAAUUAUAUACAUUUAUCAUUAGAUAAUAAGGGUAACAUGUAUAAGAUAAAAAUAUUUUGAAUUUAAUAUUUGUGUAAUUUUACUACAAGGUAGUCUAAUUAUUUGAAUUCUUGCAACAUUAAACUUAAAAUGAUGUAAAUUUAUAAUACUUAAAAUUGUACUACAAAAAAAUUUUUAUAAAAAUUUUUUAAAAUUGAAAAGGCAAUAUCUUCACUUAUUCCCUUGUCUGUUUUUUCAUAAUUAUUUUAUUUAAAAUAAUAUUCAGGCAAAAGUUUUUACUACAAAAUAUUCAGUGUUUACUGAAGGAAUAGUAUAAAUAUGAGGUUACAUGAUAUAUAAAUUGCCAUGGUUAUAUAUACGUGUAUGAUUGAUAAGCCUUGUUAUGUAUUUCAAUCUUAUUAUAUUUUAUGAACUAUAUUAAAAAAUAUAUAUAAAAAAAAACCUAGAUAUAUAGAAAUAUGGACAAGACAAAAAUUAUUUCACGUAUCAAAAGAUCUGACUGAAUAGAUUGAGUUUAAAAUAAUAAAAAUUACCUUAUUUAUCCUUUUUUUUCAUAUAUUUCUUCUUUGAACCAAGGAAUUCGGUUGAUUUUUGAAAUUAGUAACUGUAAAUAUGUGGUCGAAAAACUCAGACUUCUAGCUAAACAAGAAGGAACCCUAGCUAUCAUAUCUCACCUCUAGCUAGUAUAUAAUCUAUCAAUAUUCUAAUUACUUUAAAUAGUAAAAAAGAAAGAUACAUUCUUCAAUGGAAAGCAUUUUUAAUUGGUAAGAGUUCAAUUGCAAUAACUUUUAGCAUUAGGGUUCAAUUUAAAUUAAAAAUUAAGAUAUUUUUCAAUUUACGUUUAAAAGAGGGCUAGAAGUUAGAAGUCAUCUGGGGAUAUUAGUGUAAUUUGGAAUUCAUUACUUAGGUUUGAAGUCAUCUGGGGACAACUUAAUGGUAUAUAUAUAGAACUUUUUUUCAUUCAAUUAAUAAAGGUAAAGCUAUUAUUUAUAUGUUUUUUCCGAAAAAUGAUUAUGAUGUUUCAUUUAGGUAUUUGAUUCAUUAAUUUUUUUCCAUUUAGCUAAUUAUCAUGAUUAUUAGCUGGAUAUAGAACAGCUUUUUUCCCUCCUUUUUUUCGUUUUUUCUUUUUUCUUUAACCAUUUGAUCCUUGUAAUAUUAUAAUUUAAUCAAAUCAUUUUAUUAAAAUCAAAUAUUUAAAUAAAAAGGAUAUCCAUAAUCAGCAUCAAAUAAAAUUCUACGAAAAUAUUAUUAUUAUUAUUAUAAGUCAUGUUAUACAACUGCUUAUACAUAAUCAUAGCCGUAAAACCGAUUUCAAACCAAGAAAAAUGAAAUUAGAAUUGGUAGAAAUUGAUCAACCGCACUGAAAUUAGAGAUUUUAGCUAAAAUUUGAAAUAGAAAUCAAAGUUUAUAGAAGAAGAUUUUAAGCUUUUUAGCGUUUUGAUAAAGUUAAAACUCUAUUUAUAUAACAUUCGGAAACAUACUUUAACGUUUAGCGUUUAAAUUUUAAUUAAAUUUUUUGACAAUCAUAUUCAUUAUUUUUUUUUUUCCGAAUUGAGCUAAUUAAACAAUUGAUGUCAUUUUUAUUAUUUUACAUUUAAAAUUUAAACAGCUAAUACUGCUGAUACCCUAAAUUUAAAACCAGCAGUCUGAAGAGCCGUGAUGGCUAGCUACACAAGAAUAUGAACUGAGAAGAUUCAAAUGGCCUCCCCCUCUAAAAGUAAAGAAAAGAAGAGAUUCAAAGGGCAGUGGCCCCGAUCUUCUGGUGGCUAGUUCAACUUUUUAAGGAAUGGUCCAUUUGCCUUCCGGUGACCAAUCAAAAUGCAAAUAUUGGGUGGUGUAUGGAUAAGUGCCAGUAAAUCUGUUCAAAAGCAACAAAGAUAAUUGAAAUCUAAGGUGGACCCCUUUUUUUUCAUGAGAUGAUACCAAUUACCAAUACCAAUGCACUUCUUUUUCUGUGAUGGGGCCCUUUUUGUUUCCCUCUUUUUCUCACUGUCAUUCACCAAUGCUUGCUGCUCACUAAGAUCAUCAUUCUGCCGUUUUAUUUUUUAUUAUCAAAAUAUUUAUCUCUCUUCUUAGAAUAUUGCUAGUUCAUUAGCUUUCUUUUUCAAGUACGUGUAUGUUUAUAUAUUAUAUCAAUCACAAAUAUUCCACUAAUUCACUCGAAUAAAAUUAAAUCUUGCUAAUCCAUUUAUAAAAAAUUAAAUCGCUCUCAAUGUGUAUUUAUUUUAUUUAUGAGAAUCAAAUUUUUAAUCUCAUUUAUAAAAAAUGAAUGCCAAAAUAAGAGGUAAACAUUUAGUAAAUUUAAAUAAUAUUUUAAUCGAAAUAAAUUAAUCAAAAAUUUUUUUUUUACUUAAUUGAAUUUAACCGAACUAAUUUUUUAAUUGAACUUAAUCGAAUCAUUUUGGUCAAAUUAAUUUUAAUCAUUAACCUAAUAAAAGUGAAAGAAAAUGAAAACUUAAUUAACCAACUGAAUUUAAUCAAAAUUUAUAAUUAACUGAUUUUAACCGAAAUUAUUAAUCACUAAUUAAUUAAAAUAAAAAUUGAAAUAUUUGUAAUUUAUAAUUUUAUUAUUUAAUCAAAACGACGUAAUUUUGAGAGUCGAUUAAUUUAAUUAAUUCAAUUAAAUUAAUUUUUAACCGAUUACCGUAAAUUUUAUUUUUUUUAACCGAACUUUUAUUUUCUUUAACUGAACUUUUAUUAACUGAAUCAAAUUGGCAGAAUUAAUUGAAUUGAUCAAAUUGACCGAACUAAACAUUGACCCGUACGCGGAAUCAUUCAUUUGAAAACUCAUUGGUUGUAUAUUUAUUAUUAUUCUUUUGUUGUAUUGGAAUGUUUGAACAGGUAUUAGUUGGAGUCAUUAUCUUUGGAUUUGUUGAUUUUGAAAUUUUAGACUUUAUUGAUAUCUCAAAUGAAAUUAAUAUUCAACAUUAAACGAUUAAAAUAAAUUAAUAAAUAGUUGUUGUAUUUUGGUUGUUGGCUUGGCAUGCUUAGUGGAGGGCACACUCUUGGAAAUUUAAGCCUAUUUAAUUAUAUAAUUCGUUAAUGCUUGAACUCAAGACUAGGAUUUGAAAAUACUUUAAAAAGAAUUUAAAAAUAUAUUAUAUACAUGUGUCGCUAAUGCUAUGUUUGGGAAGAGAGAGGAAGUAAAAUAAAGGUGUAGAAUUUUACUAUUUUUUCCUCUCAAAAUGGAAUGAAAAUAAAGUAAAAAUGAUGUAAAAUAAAUUUAUUUUCCGUCCCCCUUAAUAUUUUCACUCAAACCAAAUAAGAGAUUUUGUGAAUUUUAAAGCAUUUUCACCUCUAUUUUACAUAUUUUCUAUAUUUUAUCUCCGUCUAAAUUGUAACUACCUCAAUUGCGAAGGCUUACGUAAGCUUAGGAAAAUAUAUUUUUUAUUUGGAUAAUUAUAUAAAUAUAUCAAAUUUUAUACUAAUUUUAAUAAUGUCGCGUAACUUUAAUUUAUUAUUUUUUAAUUAUUAAAUUUAAAUUUUUGUUUUGGUAAAAUAUCACCCAUCAAAAUCUGGUGACUGAAAAGAUUAAAUGAUAUUAAAAAUGAAAUAUUCAUAUUUCAGUCCCCAUAGAAAUAAAAACUUCCGUCCCCUUGUUAAUCUUACCCGCUAGAUAAUAACCUUCGAUUAAUGAGUUGUAAGUAUAAGCACUUGGUUUUUAUACCACUCUGAACCAUCAGUUCAAACAAUCCAUUUGCCUCUUUUAUCUUUUCCUCCUGACAAAGUGCAUUAACCAGCACGUUAAGUGUAACCACAAUAGGUUGCACACUUCAAUCCACCAUCUCGUUGAAUAAGCACUUAGUGUCUUCCCACUCACCAAAAGAACAUUGACCUUGUAACAGUGAGGCAUACACAAACACACUCGGACAGAUCCCCAUAUCCUUCAUUUGCACAAAAAGCUCUUUCGCCUUUUCUAUCAAUCCAUCCUUACAAAGACCAUCAAUAAUAAAGGCGUAAGAAAAUACAUCAGGCUUACAAUCCAUACCAGAUUCACCAGUCCCAUUAACCAACUUUCCAAACAACUUAAAGAGCAACAACUGUAUUGCCUGUUCGACACAACCCAUUAAUCAAUAUAUAUUAAAUGUAAAGAUAUCAGGCCUACAACUAAACAUGUUCAUUCCCAUUAUGCUCGAGCUUGGCUCGAUAACCGUAAAUAAGCCAAUCUCGAGCUGAAGCUUAAAAUUUAUCAAAUUAAAACAAUAUUAUUUUAAUAUAAAUUUGAAUUUAAUUGAUUUUAAUUUAUUGAGUUAGCUCGUAAACUCAAUUUGGAUUGAUCUGACUCGUGAGCUAAUGAGUUGAACUCGAGCUCCGAUUAUUUAUUAAAUGAGCUCAAUAAACUUAUUGAACUAAAUUGAGAGUGCUUUUUAUCGAAUUUUGAAUAGCUCACGAACGGCUUGUCUCAUUUACAGCUGCAACUAUAUAUAUAUAUAUAAACCAAUCAUCCCGAACGAAUCUAAUAAAUUGAACUGAAUAUUCAACUGACUACUUGAAAGCCAAUUGUAUAUCUGAAACAGUCAUCCUGAUCACAUCCAAUAAACUGAACUAAAUGAGCUUCCCGCUGUGAGCUAAUUUUAAAGUCCGCUGAAAUUGCAGCAUUAUAAUAUUUCUGUUAAAAAAAUACAUUUUUCUUUCUUAAAAUUAUUUAUCACAAUCAACUUAUGAUAUCAGAGGAAAAAAAAUUGACUUACAAUUCUUUUUAAAUCUUUAUUCGGUUUUGAUAAGGAAUAAAGAAUGAGAAUUCAGUAAACUAACAUAUAAACAUUAUUUAUUCAACUAAUUCCUAUUAAUUUUCUUUUUUACUUAUAGAUCCAAUCAUAUAGAUCAAAUUUAUCAUUCAAUCAAUUCUUGUACUUUACAAUUUUUUUGACGUUGCUUGAAGAAAACAAUUAAUCCCAGUUUGGGGUAAAUGUCAAACAAAAGUUAAGAAUAAAUCCCACCUUGGAAGCUUUCACUGCAGUUAUACAAUCGAAAUUUACAAAAUGCUUGUGGUUGCAGCUCCUAGAGUGUUUUUCCAAUGUUAGUUGACACCGUUUUAUCAUAUGAUAUCAGCUUUCCGUUGGCUUUUAUACAGGAAAUUGUGGAAGUAAUUUAAAAUAUUUGUCGUAGUUAUCAUCCUUCGAGAGCCACUCUAUUACUGUUUCGAAUAUACCUGCACUUGGUGACACAUUUCUUGCUACCAUUUUAUGAAGAAGGUCAGUAACUUUUGCAUUCUCAUUAUUCUGGCAUAAACCUCGCAUCAAGGAAUUAAAUGUGACCGCAUUUGGAAUACAACCUUUCUUCUCCAUCUCCAAAAAUAGAUCAUAUGCCUUCUCCAAUUGCCCUUCUUUGCAGAGUCCAUGGAUCAUGAUACUAUAGGUCACAACGUCCGGAAUGCAGCCUUUCUCCUCCAUUUCCAAAUAUAAAUCAUUUGCCAUCUCCGGUUGGCCUUCUUUAUAAAGUCCAUGGAUCAUGACAUUAUAGGUCACAACCGUCGGCUUUAAACCUCCAUUAAACAAUUUAUAGAAAAGGUCCCAAGCAAUGUCAAGCUUUCCUGUUUUACACAAGCCAUCAAUAAGGCAGUUGAUUAUUUCAACACUUAACUCAAACUUGCAGGUUUCUAAACUAUGAAACACAUCCAUUGCCUCAGAAACACAACCAUUUUCACAAAGGCCACGAAGAUAAAUUAAAUAAGUAGUGGAAUCCGGUGAAAUAUCAUGAUUUUCUGGAUGUUGCAUCUCGCCAAAUAGCUUCCGUGCAUCCUCAACCUUACCUGCUUGGAAAAGACCAUUAAACAAGAUGUUGUAUGUAAUGACAGUUGGUCGAAUCCCUUUGCCCUUCAUAUCCCGGUACAAUUUCAUAGCUUCAUGUACCUUCCAAUUCUUGCAAUAACCAUUGAUCAAUGUGUUGUAGCUUACAACAUCAUGUUGAAUCCCCUUAGUCGCCAUAGAAGAAAAAAGUUCUGUCGCCUUAUCAAUCAUACCCACCAAACAAUAGCCCUCAAUCAAUGAGUUGUAACUACAGGCAUUUGGUUUUACACCACUCUGAACCAUCAGUUCAAAUAAUCCAUAUGCCACUUCUAUCUUUCCCUCUUGACAAAGUGCAUUAAUCAACAUGCUAAAUGUAACCACAUUAGGUUGCACACCCGAAUCCACCAUCUCAAUAACUAAGCAUUUAGCAUCUUCCCACUCACCCAAAGAUAAUAGACCUUGUAAAAGCGAGCUAUAGACAACCACAUCUGGAAAAAUCCCCAUAUCUUUCAUUUGUACAAAAAGUUCUUUCGCCUUUUCUAUUAAACCAUCCUUACAAAGACGAUCAAUAAUACAAGAAUAAGAAAUUUUAUCAGGUUUACAAUUCAUGCCUGAUUCACCAUUCCCAUUAACCAUUUUUUCAAGCAACUUAAGCGCAACACCUGUAUGCCCUGUUCGACACAACCCAUUAAUCAAAGUACCAAAAGUAAAUGCAUUAGGCCUGCAACCAAACAUGCCCAUUUUCUUGAAAAGUCUAACUGCCUCACUAAUUUUAUCCUUCAUACACAAUCCCCUGAUCAAAGAAGUAAAAGUCACAAUAUUUGGCCUAUAACCCCUUCUCAUUAUUACCCCCAUGACCACAAAACCAUCAGAAACCCUUUUCACAUUGCAACAGGAAUUAAGCAAGAUAUUCAAUGCAAUGAAGUCUGACAACAACCCAACUGAAUUCAUUCUUUUGCAAAGCAAAAUAACAUCAGAAUAGUGCUUAUUUUUAGCCAGAGCACCUAACAAAAGAUUGAAUGAUGAAUUUACAGGAGUGGGUUGCAUCUGAAUCAUGCAAUUGAAGAAGUGAAUUGCUUCAUGUAGAGUGAUAUUAGCUGACUUACAAUUUAUGUUCAAAAAUUUCUCGAGUGGGGUUUUGCUUUGAGGGUUGGGGAUUGAGCUUCUUGGUUCAUAUUUGGAAUUGCAAGUGACUUCAUUUGAGUUUCUGGGUUUUGAACUGGUGUCUGUAUGUUGAUUAGCGAACAAGGAAGAAAGUUUACCACUUGAAGUAAUUGUUGAAGAAAGCGAUGAUGCACCAGCAAUACAACAUAGAGACGAUUGUGGGGUUUUGGAGACCAUACUAAGCCGAGUUGAAGGGGAUUCUUAACUUCAAUUUGCAAAAAUUGCACGCAAAGAUGGUGCUAAAGCAAGAUUUGAAGGCAUCAGCUUCUAUCUCAUUUCUGGUUAGUAAGACUGUGGGAGGGAUAGGAAGUGGGGAUGCACAAAAUAUGGUUGUCGCGGCUAGGAGAUGAAAGACUGGAACGAUGCUAUAAUUGAAGCUUCCCUGAUAGUAAGACUAAAUUUUCCACAUCCAUUCUCAUACUCUACUGGAGAUAGGCAUCAUACUAUUCCUGCCAAUAAAAGCUCUAAGAAAUUAGGUUCUAUAUGCAUUUCAAAUACGAUGUCUAUUCAUUAGUUAAAUUAACAUCAAUUCACUACUUUAACUGAAUUCAAAAUUACUAUAUAAAGUUAUAAACACAUUCAAGUUCAUUAAAUAAUUUUCUACUUCCUACCUUACAAAUUGCCAAUAAGAUAUUUUAACUAAACAAUAUAAGAUAUUCAAAGUUAACCAUUAUUAAAUCUUGACAAAGAAAGCGAUACAUCACUUCAAUGGUCAUCAGUAAGAAGUUAGCAGCAUUAAAAAUGACAGAAACAAUUAUUUUGUACCUUGUCACUCAUUAGUAAGAUGAUUAAUUACUGCCAUAUAUAUUAUGUAUAUAUAACCUUAAAAAAUCAUGAUCCUGUCCAGUCAAGAUUCGGCUUAAACAUAUGAAAUUAACAUUCAAAUCCAGAAACUUUAAUUUUAUUCUAGAUUUAUUACAAUUAACCUUAGCUAACUUAGCACAAUUAAUUCAUACUCCUCAUAAUAAAUAAGAUCUAAAUCAAGCAUGCUGAAAAUUCCUUUACAUUAAACCAGUACACAUGAAUCUCCACCAAAGAAGCCAAGAAGACAGAACUUCCUAACCCAAUUUGCAAAAUAUGACUACUGGAAAUGGAGAGAAGAUGUUAAAAUUUUGUGGCCAUUUAAUCACACAUGCUUCCCUUAGUAUUGGUAAAUGGGUGCUACAUUCUGUAGUCAGAUGGAGUCAACGAUGCGGGGCUUGGAAUUUGGAAUGAAAAGGAGAUUGCGAUGGCAGCAGCCAUGCACAGGUGCAACAUCGGAGAUGGAGAAAUCAACAGCCAUAAACUCUUGUUCAAUUUACAAUGUCUCAAAUUUUCUGAUGAUAUUGAAGAUAAAAGAUGACUUAGUGACUGAUUUGAGGCAUCAAAGAAGUUUGCUCAAACUAAUGUUGGCGGUAUGGCUGAAAGUUAGAGGAGGCAAGUUUGGAUUGACUCUCUCUAGCUCUUUCCCCCUUCUCUCCAUUCCCAUCUUUGUCUCCUUCCUUUCUUUCCUAUUCCACUCUCUUUCUUUACACCAGUAAUUACAGUAUAUAAUCUAUAAUUGAUUAAUAAUAUUGUUUUUAAAGUGAAUUCAAAACUACUGCACAUGAAUGCAAAAGCACAUCAAUUCUAUCAAAUCGAACAGAAAAACACGAGAAAUCUCCCGAAAAAAACAGAUUAGGAUUUGAGAAGGUAAGAGCACAGACGAUAUAAUUUACUUACAGUAAUCGAUUAGGAACGCUGAGCUGCUAACAACUGCUUGCAGUGCGACGGUGCCAAGAUUAUAGUCGCGGUGACGGUGACCAGUGACCGUGGAACAAGGGAAUCUAAAUGGAACGGCGAGCGGUGGAAAGGAAGCAGCGGAAAUAGAGUCUGAGCAGUGAGAAUAGAAGGCGGAUAUAGUGCGGGCUAUUAAUCGAGAAGAAGCUCUCGAUAAGCAGAGGAAAGACAAUUACCGUUUUCGAUUUUGGCCAGUCGCCCUUUCGCUUUUGGGUCUGUUCGGCGGUAGCAUUUCAGAUAGUUUUUAGCCUUUCUGACUAGAGUCAAAACACUGUCUCUCUCCGGUAACGUAAUAUCUGCGAGGAGUGUUUCGUUAAAUGUUUAGCAUUUUAAAUAAAUAAAUAAAUAAUUUUUUUUUACACACAUGCCCAUUAUUCUUUAUCCUCUCCUCAAGCCCUAAAAUUUACUGAAUCAGAAGUUGUUCCUCUCUACUAGUUGCCGUAUAUUUGAAUUUUGAUUGCAGCCCUCUGCUAUUUGAUAAUUGCAUUACCAAACAUUAACAACCAAAUCUCAAGUUGGUAAGGAAUAACUGUAUCAAAGUAUCAAACUAUUCACAAAAUGUUUGCAUAACAAUAUCUGCAAGUUUAAUUUCACAAUUUAAAAUAAUUAUAUAUUUAAUACCAUUAAAAUAAUAAGAUCAAUUAUGAAAAUGCAGUGAGAAUGCAUGAUUUUAAGUAUAAAUAAUACUUAAUACUACUCACAGUAUUAGGGAACAGAAACGGCUCUAAUUUCAAUUUUAGUUUCCCAUAGCGGCUCAAGGAUCCGGACAAUCUAGAAGAAUAUUUAAAUUAAGAACAGAUCUUCAUUGAUACAAAAAUAAAUCGGUAAUUAUUUCGUUACCAUCUUGAAUUCAAUUCACAGAGAUCCUGUUGGAAAUCCGACAGUCUCUUAUUUAAAAAUCAAAAAUCUACUUACUAAAUUUAUAAAAAGAAAGAGCAUCGCUCGCCCCAUCAAUCUCAAUGAGAAUCCUAUCUGCAACUAAAUUCAUCAAUAAUUCACAUUUCAAUAUGAAUAGCCAAAUCGAACAAUAACUUUAAUUUAGAUGCUCCAUUCCUUGGCAUUGAUUAGCCCUUCGUUUACAUUCCACCACUACCAAUGGAACUAUAGUUUAUGUUAAACAAUUUACAAAAGACUACAUUUAACAACUAAGUAUUGCCAGUAAUGAUCCUUUUCGUACAUGAUUUUUAAGGUUCUAAAUUAAUUCUUAAAAUGCCAUUCCACCCUGGAAUUUACUAAGACCUCACAAAUUCUUAAUUAUUCUUCACUCAAAGGGGGUCAAUUGCCAACACAACCACUUAGAAGGAUUGGAAUCAAGAUUAGGAUCAGAAUCAACAGGAAUUAAAGAAGACUCACCAAGUUCUUGUUCUUCUGUAUCUUGAGGGACUGAAAUUGUAGAGGACGGUUGAUCAGAGGUCUCAUGCUCCAUGGUUGUAUCUGUAUUAAUCCGUCAUGUAUAGGUUUUCAAAUCAGGUCUAUCCAAUCUUCCUAGAGAUUUGGCUGGGUGUUCUCUCUUACUAUCUAUGUCUAUAGGAAUCUCCCCCUAGAAACAAAUGUCAUCCAUCACCUCUUCCGUCUAAUAUUUCUCCCCCCAAAGAGGUGACUGGAAAGAAAAAUAAGAUUCAAACUCCCAAAAGGUAACAUCCAUACUCACAAAGUAUUUCCUAGAAGAAGGAUGAUAACACUUGUAUCCUUUUUGAGUAUUAGAGUAACCAACAAACACACACUUCAAGGCUCUAUGAUCUAAUUUGCUUAGACCAUUUUGAUGAACAAAGCAAACACAACCAAAGACUUUAGGAGGUACAAUAUAAGAGUUUUUUCCUUGAAGAGACUCUAAUGGAAAUUUAAAAUUUAAAGUACAAAGAGACAUACGAUUGAUAAGGUAAGCAGCAGUCAAAAUAGCAUCCCCCAAUAUGGUUUUGCAAGAUUCAUAGUGAACAUAAGGGACCUAGCUACUUCCAGUAAAUGCCUAUUUUUCCUUUCCGCUACUUCAUUUUCAACACUAGUAUUAACACAACUAGUUUGAUGUAUAAUACGAUUAGAACCUAAAUAGGUACGAAAAUCUGCAUUCAUGUAUUCAAUACCAUUAUCAGUUCUUAAGAUUUUAACAUGCGCAUCAAACUGAGUACAAAUCAUUUUGUGGAAGUUUUGAAAACACGAAAAAACUUCAUUUUAUAUUUUCAUCAAAUAAACCCAAGUCAAUCUAGUGCAACAAUCAAUAAAGGUCACAAACCAUCUAGUACCAGAAAGAGAGACAUUUUUAGUAGGACCCCAAACAUCAAAAUGAAUAGUAGCAAAAGGAAUCAAAUUUUUAUUAUUAAUUGGAGAAUAAGAACGCCUGAUGUGUUUGGCAAGUUUACAAGCAUCACAUACUAAUGAAUUAAAAUCACAAUUAGCAAACUAAGUGGGAAAUAAAUGUCCUAAAAUAGAAAAAGAGGGAUGUCCUAAUCUCCUAUGCCAUUGAAUAACUUCAUGGGAAGGAUUUCUAGAAGUUCCUAACAAAGCUUGACUGGUACCUGAAUUUGAAAAACGACAAAUGUCAUCCAACAGACACAGUCCAUCGCGCAAGCUACCACUGCCAAUCGUUCUCCCCGUGUUCAGUUCCUGAAUUAUAGAAUGAGUGGGGUAAAAAGUUACUUUGUAAUUAAGGGCUUUUGUGAUUAAGCUAACAGAUUAAUAAGAAAUCUAGGAACAUGAAGAACAGGGGAGAGUUUAAUAUUGGAAGUACAGUCAAUAGAACCUGUUCCAGCAAUGGGUACUAAGGAGCCAUCCGCAAUGCGAAUUUUGUCUGUGCCUUGAUACUUAGAAUAUGUGAGGAAAUGUUUUAUAGAGUCUGUUGUAUGUUUAUUUGCUACUGAAUCUAUAACCCAAGAGGGUUUUAUAAUUUUUGCAAGACAGGUAAGGAAAGCAUUACCUGUAUUAACAAAAUUAGAGGCUGCAGUCUGAGUUGAGGAAGAAUCAAGCUGUGACAACAAUCGUUUCAGGGACUGAAUCUCCUUAUCAAAAAAGCUUCCAGCAGUAGAUGGUUCCUCAGAUAAAGCUCCACUACUAGAUAUGUGUGCCUAUGGUCUAGAAGAACUGACUCGCUUUCCUCCGCGCCCUUUAGUUGGGUGUCCAUGUAAUUUCCAGCAGAACUCCUUAGUGUGCCUGUUCUUACCGCAAUAGUCACAAAAUAAUUGAUCUCUAUCCGAAGAAUUGCUCUUUUCUCUUGCAGAAUUAGCAAUCAACCCUGCUUUAUCAAUUGUAGAUCUGUGAACGUUGUCAAUGGUAAAUCUGUGAACCAUAGCGUUCCUCCUAGUCUCCUCUUGCUGUACAAAUGAGUAUGCUUGUCGUAAGGAUGGAAAAGGAUCUCGUCCAAGAACUUGGACUCGAAUCUGAUCAUACUCGUUAUUUAGGCCAGUCAGAAAAUCAUACACACGUUAUACUUCAAUCCACUUUUGAACUUGAGUCGCAUUAUCAGUACAUCUUGCUUGAAAGUCUUAAUAAUAAUCCAGUUCCUGCCAUAACCUACUAAAUUCAGCAAAAUACUGAGCGAUAGUCAGAUCUCCCUGCUUGGUUUCAUGAACUUUCUGUCGCAAUUCAUACCUCUGAGCAUAGUUUCCAGUUUGUGAAUACGUCUGUGAAGCAGCAUCCCAUAUCUUCUCAACUGUAUUAAGAAGCAAAUAUCCUCGGGAAAUAGUUGGCUACAUGAAAUUUAUGCACCAAGACAUAAUAAGAGAAUUCUCGAAUUUUCACUUGUUAAAGGCUGGAUCUGUCGAAACUGGUUUAGUUGCUCCACCAUCAAGGUAUUCCUGCAAACCUCUACCUUCAAUGAAUAAUAAACAAGACUGAGACCAAGCCAAGUAGUUUGUUCCAUCUAUCUUCACCGGACUAAUCUGAAGUGAGAGGCUCUCUAAGUGAAAAACCAUAUUUACCUUCUUUCCGUCAACCAUAUCUUCAAAAAAAAAAAAUAAAAAAAAAUAAAAAACUAAAACGGCAUUAGUGGUGAAAGGCAGCAGCAGUAAAAGCCAACAGCAGUAGUGGAAAUAAACCAAAAAAGAGAAAAAAAAUUCCAAAAGGCAAAACUGGUGCUGAAGAACCAGUAGGUCUGAGUCGCCACACCGAGUCGAGGUCGCCGGAACAAGAAUCGUCAACAGAUCUCGCCGAAAAUAGCCACAUGCGCCGGCGCGUGAAGAACAGUCAGUAUCUUCUGGAGGCGGGUGUGCACACGCGCGUGGUCGGACGGCGACGCAGUUUGGAUGGAGUGCCGAUUGGCGGUUGUUCUUCCCUCUGAGACGGGCGAUGACGACCAACUCCUGCUUCCGGCGGUGCUGUGUGUAUCUCAGACCACUUUGCAAACUAAAACCGUUGCCAAAAAAUUCACAACAAUGGCUCUGAUACCAUGUAGAAAUUAAAGGAAAGAAUUUGUUCUAUUUCUUUCAAUUGUGUUAUGUUUUUCAACCUCUACUCCACUAUAUAUAUACAUAAAAUUGUUUCAAUAUAGGAAGUAAUCUAAAGAGGAAUAAACCUAAACUAGAAAACAAAAUUUUUACACUAAUUAGGAAUAAACCUAAACUAGGAAACACAAUAUUUUACUUUAAUCACAAAGAUUUCAACACUAAUUAAUUAAUUUACUCUCCUUAUUUUUAUUAGAGUGUUAUUUCAUAUACUUAUUUAAAAUACACAUUAUUCAAUUAGUUUUUCAUUUCAUAUUAUGUACAUAACAUACUCCUUUCAGUUUUUAGCUAUUGUUUGAAUAAGUUUGCACUUAUUUUUUGGAUUUAAUAAAAAUCAAACUAAAUCUUAGUUUCUCAAAUUUUUCUAUUAACAUUGAAACAAAACUAAUAUUUUAGUGUAAUAUGGAUAAGUUUAUAGUUAGUCUUCACAAAAUGUUUUGUACUAUAAAUUUUUUAGGGCUUGAACGAUUUGGCAAGAGUUAUCGUUUGAGACGGUUGAAUUAUUUGAGACCAGAUAUCAAGUAUGGUGGUUCUACUGAAGAAGAAGACAAAAUUAUUUUCUCCCUCAAUAACAGCUUGGGAAGUAGGCAAGUCUCUCUAUAUAUUAAUCCAUUUUCACUAUUACAUAUACAGUAUAUAUUUCCUCUUAAAGAUUAAGAUUUUCUUUUAUUUAUAUUAGAGGUGGUCUUUCAUAGCUUCUCAGCUUCGAGGAAGAACAAACAAUGAUGUGAAAAAUUACUGGAAUAUCAGAUUGAAGAAGAAGUUGUUGGCAGUGGCAGGUAAGAAUACUAAUAUUGAUUCCAGCAGGAGAAGCAAAAAACGCAACAAUACUAACAGUAACGUAGCACAACCUUUGUAUUAGUACUACAAACAACAACUAAUUACCUGAGCAAUUGUUUACCAUAAAGACUCGUUAAAAGCAAAUACAGCAAGGAAGCUAGUAGAUUCACACAUUUUCUUAAGUCUUUGGAGAAGCUUUUGAUCGAAGAAGACAAUGAUAUUGCAGUACCUAUGGGAACCAAAAAGUAAAAUCUGUGUAUUAACAAUGGUAAAUUAAUGAAAGGAUCAAGUGAUUAAGAGUGUAGAGAGAACCUUGCUAGAGCAGCUUUGAAAGGAGAAGAAAUUAAAAAACCCAAGUAUUGAGUUCAAGGCAGCGUGAAGCAAUACGAAGGAUAUAAAAACCAUUUAAAUUUUAGUGUUAUAUAGAAACUAUAAUUUGUGUUUCAUUCAAAACUUUCAAUUAAUUGGCUAAAUCUUAGGUAGUGUAUGAUUUAAACAAAUCAAAUAUCGUGUUCAAUAAUUUAAAUAAUUUAAUAUGAAAAAUCUAUAAGUAAAAUAUUAAUUAAAAUAUUUAAGUUGUCCAAUAAUAAUACAGAAAAAUAAAAAGAAAUUUCAAAAAUUUCUAAAACAAAUAGAAUGAUGAACAAAAAAAGAGCCUUGAUUUUUCUCUUUAUUUCAGGUUUCGUAUGUAUAGAUAGAUUGGGUUUUUCAGAAAAAAUGAAAAAAACAAAAAAUAAAAAAACUUUUGAAAUUAACUAGAAUUUCUAGGAAUAGUUUGAAAGAUUCUCGAUUCAACAAACCUGAUGAUGCCGUUGUGGACUUUGGGUCCAAUUAACAAAUAUUUGCCUUAACUUUGCAUUAAGUCUUCAUAUCUAGUCCACAAAUUCGAAUAUAGAUUUUUUCUGAAAAUUUAUUUUAAAAUUCAAAAUGUUUUGAAAAUAAAAUUAUAGGAUAUUUCAGCAACUCAGGCUGGACAUGUGGAGAACUCUCGGAUUUUAUCCCUACUAAAUGCAUUUGUAGGGAGGGGCGAGGAUCUUUAACUCUGACUAAGCCCUGAACUAGAUUAGAUUGUCUCUUGUAAUGGGUGCGAAUAUCGGUGGUUACACCAAAAAUAUAUAUAUAAUUAUUUCGUUUUCUUUCAAUUUGAUUUGUUAUUUGGUUAAUAUAACUAUUUUGUUUCAUUUUAAUACUUAUUAUUAUGUCUAUUAAUAGCCCUUUUAUAUUACGGGCAAGAAUCAAAUAUCAUGAAUUAUGCAUGCGAUACAAAUUUUGAGAAUCUAUUAAUUUUAAAUAUAAUUAAGAUAUUGUUAUUAUAUUUUGAGCUAUAUUAGCCUUUGAUUUUAGAAUUGUCAAUGAUAUUAUGCCUCGAAUAUGCUUCUGAAGUAACAAUAUCGAAAGAGAAUAUUUUAAGAUAUUUUGGAUUUAUUUCAUAUCCCUCUUUUAUCAUGAGAGAUCUUAAUAGAGAUCAUGAGACCGUCCAACUGGAUUUUGCUUCAUCUCUGAAGUGAAUGGAAUAACAUAUAUAUGGGUGUAGCGAUGUCUAUCUAACUAAAUGUGAUUCAUUCUCCGAAGUGAAUGCAAUAAUAUAUGAUAUUGGACGUAGACAUGAAUAAUGACAAAGAUUGUACAUGUCAUUGAGAAUAUUAAUAAGAUCACAGUUAAAAUCAUGAUUUUAGCAGUUAUAGCUGCUAAAUAAUUAAGAAUAAAUUUUACCAUUAGUGGUACAAAUAAUAUGGCACAUGGCAGAUAUUGGUUGUGUACUUAUUGUACACCAAAAUAUGAAAAAAUAAAUUUGGUUUGAUAGUAAAAGAAUAUUUAAAAGCUCUCGAAUAGCAAGUGUUACUACCUAGAGGAAUGAAUUUUAUGCAUAAUGCAUUAUUCAAAGAUAUUCAUUAUAAUGGAUAUUAUAUAUAGAUAAUGAUUGAAAUAAAUAUUGUUGUAAACCAGAAGUUUACAAAUCCAAUACUUUUAUUAUUUGGUAUAAUCAGUUGGACCAUCCCGAUUAAUAAUGAUGCAAAAAAAAAAUUUAAAUCUUCAUGUAAAUAUUUAUUGAAGAACCAGAAGUUUCUUUAAUUCUAUUGAAUUUUUCAUGUUUGGUUUGUUCUCAAAGCAAAUUAAUUAUUGUGCAAUUAUCAAGUAAAGUUCAAAUUGAACUGCUUGCAUUUUUUGGAAUAUAUAAAGGGUAAAUCAACCAUGUGGAUCAUUUAUUAGAUGUUAUAUGGAUGCAUCCGAAAAAUAGUUACAUCAUUAUUAUUAACUUGCAACCUGAAAUUUUUAAAGAUUAUUAUCAACAUGCAACUAGAAGUUUGCAGGAUUAUUUGUGCAAAUAAUUUGAUGAAGAAUAUAGUUUUCAAAUUAUGCUAUUAAGACAAUUUAUCUUAAGAAUAAUGGUGAAUUUACACAUCAGCCUUUAACGAUUAAGACAUGUGUUAAUUGAAAUAAUUUAGGGCAACCUAUUGUUGCUUUUAUUCAUGCUCAAAAAUGAUUUAUACUCCAUUCAUUUCCGUAAAAUAAUUUACAGAAAAAUAACUUGCUGAAAAUAUUUUUAUGGAAAAUAUUUUCCUUGAAAAAUAUUUUUCAAAUGACUUAUUUUCUGCUGUUUGGUUGUAACGUUGAAAAUUAAUUAAAAACAUUAAAGUCUUUAUCUCAUAAGACCAUAAAAAAAUUAAUAAUAAUAUAAAUUUUAUAAUUUAGAAAUUUUAUUGUUAAAUAAGACAAUAAUGCAAAAAGAAAUGUAAAUUAUGAAAGUCGUCGGAGGCCGGUGGUGAUCGGUGGUAAAUAGUGACUGGUAGUAGUGACUGUGAUGAUUAAUAAACUAAAAAAAUAUGAAUUUAUAAGGUUUACCAAUUUCAGAAAAAUGUUUUACUCUCUCGAAAAUGAGAAGUUGUUUUCCUUAAAAAAUACUUAAUUUUCCUUUGACUAGGAAAAUAUUUUCUAUUGACUUAUUUUCCUAAAUGCCUCAAACAACGAAAAAUUGUGAAAAAAUAUUUCCUUAUAAGUUAUUUUACGGAAACAAAUGGAGCCUUAGUAGAAUCAUUUAUAAAUGAUUGGAAUUAAUUGCAAGACAAUUAUUAUGAGAAAGAAUCCCCCUAUUUUUUAGAGGGACAUGCUAUUAAAUUUAAUAGAACUUACUCGCAUCAAGGCAAUAAAUUAUUUUAUAAGUUCUUCCCUUUAUAAUUGAUUUUAGAUCAGGAGCCAAAUAUUAUCUAUUGAAGAAUUUAUUCUACUCUGUGUAUAUAUAUACUAGUAAUUAUUUUCGCUAUUAAAUUGUGUUAUUAUUUUUAAAAAUAUUUAAUUUUUGUGAAAAAGGAAAUAAUUGAAAAUAUUUUAAGGGGAAGUUUUAGCAUAUAAUAAUAUUUAAUUUUUAUUUAUUUGAGUGUUUAAGAAUCAAAUUAUUUGAGAUUAAAAAAAAAUUAAUUGUUCAAAUAUGUUUUUGUACAUUGCAUGCAUGUAUAUAUAAUGUGUCAUUAGUUUAUUAUAAUCACUAGAUUAUUUGAAAGGGAGCAAAAAUGAAAGACAAAUCAGACUGAAUAAUAAAAUUAUUCAUCAAAAUAAAUUCAAAAAAUCAUAAAUCAUAUCAAAAUGCCUAAACAAAAAAAUUUAAAUAUCGGAAGGAAACUUAUGCCUAAAUAUGUCUCAUAAUGUCAUUUUUCAUUUCAUAAAAAUCAUUAAAAAAGUUUCUUUCAACAGAGAUGAAAAAUAUAAAAUCAGUUUCCACCAAUACCUGUAAUCAAUGGUGUUAUUCUUAGUAGAAUUUCAUCCAUAGAGGCACAUAACACAUAGACCAUCUGAAUCGGCCGGAAGCAAUGUGAAACCAUUUCUAUUGAUUGAGAUUUUAUUAACAACAAUGUCAAUUUGUAUAUAUGUUGCACUACCUAAUAAAGGACAUGAAUCAUUAAUUGUAAGCUUGAAGGCUAGAAAAAGGAAUUACAUAAUUAAUCUAAAGCUAAAUCACCAAAAAAAAAAGUCUGAACUUCAAUAUUUUUCUUAAAUUUUAGCUGAUACUUUUAAUUUUAUCAAUUAUAUCUCAGGCUUAUUUUUUCUUGUCAAGUACGGUUUUGGCCAGAAUCCAUUAGUUUGUUGCUUAUUAGGCCAUUAGUUGGCCUCACAGCAGGUCAGGUCACAUCCACAUACAACACAUCAGCUUACAUCCACGUGGUAGUUCUUUGGUGUUCAUCCUUGCUUUUAUAAUUUAGAAGAUUGAUUUUUAAGACAAUCUUCUUCCCAUCCCUCUGCAAAUUUGAAAAAAAUUUAGUGCAGGUUUACAAUUAAUAGAUUCUUGAUGGACCCUCAACAAGCAACUCGUACCGUCUGUAAUCCCAAGAUCAAUUGGUUUCUUCAGUCUCGAAGCUGCAUCAUUUAACCGCACCCAGUUGUACUCUAGACAAAAGCCAGAAUUAAUAAUAAAAAAUAAGUAUAUAGUAUUGAUUCAUAAAAUUAAAAGUAUUAUUAAACUUUAAGGUGUUUAUUACUAUUGUGGUUUAUAGUUUUUCGUUUAAUUUUAGUAAAAACAAAAAUAAAACGUGUUUAUUGUAAAAGUGUUUAAAUUUACUUUGUAACUUCUUUCAAAAUGGUUUAAAAAACAAAAAACAUAUUUUGUGAAACUACAGACGCUAUUUUUUUUUUUUCUUUAAUAUGCUUCUCUCUUCUCUCUCAUACAAGUCUCUCUCCCAUAUGUCUCUCCUACAAGUCUCUGUAAUAGAAUAAUUCAUUUAUACUAAGCUCUAGUUUUUAAUGUGAAUAUAUUACAUUGUAUUAAUUCUCUUCUAACUAAUUAUUUUUGGUAUGUUCACAAACUAAACCAUCAGUUAAACCUUGAACUUCACAAAUUGUAACUGUUGUACCCUAAAAUGACCUUAAUCUCGCAAGCACCCCAACAUUAUCUUUUUAUAACAAUUACACUCCAAUUUCAAUCCGGUAAAAAUUACAUAAUAAAAAAUAUUUUCGUGGAUCCCACACCUAUCCCUUGAGUUAGCUAACCCAAAGGAACAGUUAACCCAAAAAUCAGUGCGUUAAUGAAACUCUGAAAAUGUUUUUUCUCUUUCGUUCAUCGUCGACCUCUUUGCUUCAGGUCCAGUCAGUUAUUAAAUCUCUAAUUCUUAUCACUCAUCUCUUCAACAUAAAUCUAAACCUUUUUUAAGAAGCCACAGCGAUUUGAUUGACAUUUAAUCAGUUUAGAAGGGUUCGCACAUUUGAAAUGGGAAGGGAGAAAGCCAAAAGAGAUUGGUAUGAGUUCGAAUCUUGCUCCUUUAAUGGAAUUAUUUAUGUGUUUGUGGAUUUAAGCUAUUGAUAUGGACAAAAAAAAUAACACUAAUUUGUCUUUAUAACCAUUUUUUUGCAUGUGGUUGUAUUGGGUUUAAACUUUAGGGGAUUUAGGGUUUGGUGAAUAAAUUAUUGCAUUUUAUUUGGUGAGUGCAUAGACAACGACUCGAUCAAUUGGAUAUCUAGUUCGACUCGAUCCGAAUGGAGCGGAUAAAAUCUGAUUCAUUUACCGGUGGAUCGGAUAUGGAUUUUUAAAAUAUAAUCCCCAUGGAUAUGGAUAUAGCAUAAUCCAAUAUGUGAAAAAUAAUAUUACUUUUUUCUUAUAUUUCUAAAAUUGUUAAUUGUAAUUCUAGAUGUGUAGUUGCGUUUAUUCUUCUCUUUCUUCUUUCUUUUCCAUUUAUAUUUUAAAUUAUCACCUCCAACUCUUUCACCCUUUUCAUAUUUUUUUUCAAUCUCUACUUCAAACAAAAGAAUAUGAGUUAAACAUUACGACCACUAGCAUGAUUUUUUUUUUUUUUUGUGCUUAACAAUUUUUAAAGUCCCUUCUAAUUGUUAUAGUAUCUAAUAUUUCCAAUUACUAUUAGAAAUUUUUGUAUUUUCAAGCACAAUAAUAAUAUGAUUUUUUAUUAAAUUAUUGUUCUAUUUUUAUUUUUCUUUUAAACAUAAUAAAAAAAUAAAUAAUAUUCGAUCUGACAUUCGAUCCAAUCCCAAUUCGAGUGGAUUGGAUAUGGAGAUUGAUAUAUGAAAAUCUUCGCUGGAUCAGAUAUAGAUUUUGCAUAAUCCAAUCCGGAUUCGAUCCAUGAUUAUCCUAAGUGAGAAUUAAAGGAAUAUGGAGAAAUACAAGCCUGCUUCAUAUGGUGCAUUUGAAUUAACUAUUCCUUUGGCUUAGCUAACUCAAGGGAUAGGUGUGAGGUCCACGAAAAAUAUUCUUUUUAUCGUGUAACGUUGAAGUCUCUUCUAAUUGUUAGUAUAUAAUAUUUCCAAUUAUUGUUAGAAUUUUUUGUGUUUUCAAGUACAAUAAUAAUAUGAAUUUUUAUUCUAUUUUUUUCUUUUAAACAUAAUAAAAAAUAGAUAAUAUUCAAUCUGAUCUGACAUGCAAUCCGAUCGCAAUUCGGAUGGACUGAUUAUGGACAUUGAUAUAUGAAAAUCUUCGCGGAUCGGAUAUGGAUUUUGCAUAAUCCGAUCCAAAUUCGAUCCAUGAUUAUCCCUAAGUGAGAAUUGGAGGAAAAGAGAGAAAUACAAGCCUAAUUCACACAAUGCAUUUUGGGUUACCUAUUCCUUUGGAUUAGCUAACUCAAGGGAUUGGUGUUAAAUCCACGAAAAUAUUUUUUUAUUAUAUAAUUUUGACCGAAUUGGAAUUGGGGGUGCAAUUGUUAUAAAAAGAUAAUUAUGGGGUGCGUGGGAGGUUAUGUAAUUUUGAUCGGAUUGGAAUUGGUGUGCAAUUUUUAUAAAAGAUCAUUCUGAGGUACCUGAAGGGGUAAAAUCAUUUUAGGAUACAAUUAUUAACUUUCAUAAAGUUUAGUAUUAAGAUUAUUUUAGGAUACAAAUAAGAUUAUUUUAGGAUACAAUUAUUAACUUUCGUGAAGUUCGGAGUUUAACAGAUGGUUUAGCCAUUUUCAGGUGGGUCUAUUUCUUUUAACUUAACUUUGGGCUUCAUCUGAUAUUAGUCCAAUUAGUUAAUGGAUCUUAUGUAACCUUGGGCCCAAUUGCAUUUGUCUUUGGUUUUAACCUAGCAGCUUCGAUGUCUCUUCAUUCUCACCGAUACCAAACCCUAGUGAACCAUAGCGCCGCUCUCAUCUGUUCUCUUAUCAAGCCUAGCUCUGUUCACAUCAACAACCCUUUAAUCUUCGCCGUCCGUCUUCAACCCUUCAACCCAUUACCUUGUUCACAUACUGACUGAAGUUCUGCUAUCAGACCUAAUGAUUUGUUCUUACUAACCAUGGGUAAAGAUUAUUUAAGUUAGGUCUUCGGAUGGCUACUGAAGAUUAGGUUCUUGACUUGUAUAUAUUUUUUUUUUUGUUUUUUUCCACAUUGAUCUGCAUUUAUCUUAUCAUGCAUUUUUUUGACUUUGCUAAUUUUCAUAAAAUCUUUUGUCAUUUUUCGUGGGUGCUUCUUUGCAGAAGCAUUUAACUUGGACCUGAUGGAGCAGGUUAGUAAAAGAUUUGCAUUUCUAUAUUUAUAGGAUAGUAAAUUGUGAUUUCCUAUGUGCAUUGUAAUUUGUUUACUUAUUGUAGUGUUCAAAUAUGGCAGUAUGAGAAAGUUGAAAAGAUUGGUGAAGGAACGUAUGGAGUGGUAUACAAGGCUCGCGAUCGUACAACCAAUGAGACUAUAGCUCUGAAGAAAAUACGUUUGGAACAAGAAGAUGAAGGUGUUCCUAGCACUGCAAUUCGAGAAAUUUCCCUCUUAAAAGAGAUGCAGCAUGGCAACAUUGUAAGGUAUAAUUGAUUAAAUUAAGCUUUGGGGCAUAGUUGCUUCAAUAAAAUACUUGAAACUUGUUGUGGAUAAGAAUAUCUAGACAUGGUUACAAUACUUUGAAACUUUAAUUCAGUGGGAAACUCUGUGAAAGAAAAAAAAAAAAAUACAAAAGGCAAGCCUGAUAGCCAGACAUAUUACUGUAUUGUAUAAUUUGUCUUCAAGGUCACUGCAGGUUUGAAAACAGUACCUCGGCCACCUCUUUGUCUGCCUUGUAUUUUCAUUUCCCUGACUAGGUUUCUUUACAAAUAAACUGCACAAAUACUCUAAUGUGGGUGAAAGCUUCUUUUAAAUUCUGCUGCAGUAUUAUUAUCAGGAGUGUGCAUUUGUUUUGUGUGUAUCUCAUGUAUGUCAAAAUUGGUAAGGCUCAUGAUGGUUAAGCUAUCAUAUAAGGUCUGAUAUCAAUGUUCUAUUUUGUAAGUCAUUCAUUUAAAGCUUAAACUGCUUCUUUAAAGACUACCAUAGAGGCAUGGAAAGCCUCUGGGUUCUGGUAGAUAUAAGCUAUCUCGAUUGCUGAUAUGACUUUAUUCCACUUUUUCGUUGUAUUUCAAUAAAACAAUACUAUUCAUAGUUAACAAUGCUAUUCAUAGUUAUUGGCACACCUUGGCGCAAGGCGCUUUUAUUUGCUUUGUAUGAUUUUUUUUUUUUUUUAAUUCCUUCCUAAGUUGUUUCAUCUAGACACUCCUUUGAAAUAUUUUAGGGACUGACAUACCUUGUAUGCAUACAAGUUAUACAUGUAAAAGGAAUUUAUGAAAGAUUACAACUCUUUUUCAAAGAAAUAGGCUUGGGUUGUCACAAACUGACCUUCCUAUUUUUGAUGAAUUGAGUUCGCUUUUUAAGAUUUAAUUAAACUCCAGUUAACAAUUAUUCUUUUCUUCUUUCUCUCUAACUUUACUAUUCCUAUGAAUUGGCUGACAUGAUUUGACUAUCCUAGAUUUUGUAUGAUCCUGUAGUCGUGGCCUUCCUUUUCAGAUUUAGUGCAACUUUCUAAGUUGCAUGAACACUCUGAAAGGUUUGAUGUACCCAUGUCAUAGUGUUAUAAUACAUCGACCCCUCUAUUACACUCUCAAACAUGUCUUAGGUACUCUGGAGCAAAUAUCCUGUUGUUUUUUUAAUUUUAUUAAUUCUGGACACUGCAAGGAUGUCUCUAGGACACUUUUUGAGGACACUUCUUAGAUAUUUUAAGAACAUAUUUGAAAAUUUUAUCAGACUUGUUGAUAAAUUCAUUAAUUAAAAAUUCUAAUUGUGGUCUUAAAUAUAAACUAGAUAAUUAUUUAUAUUUAAAUAGAAAUUAAAAGAUAAAUGAAAGAAGGGAAAACCCUAUCUUAUUAUUUAUAAGUUGUAACUUUAUUACAUAUCUAUUACUGUCAAAUUCAAAAGCUAAUUCCUGAGGUUGAUUUGAAAUUCAGGAAUUCACAAGGUUUUUAUUAUAGCAUUCUUUGGCUUUUAUCAAGAAAAUUUGACAAUAUUAUUUUGAACAAAUUAAAAUGCGAGACAUUGCAAGAGAUAAAUCUGACUCUUUUGAAGAUGUUGGAAUUCUUGAAAUUACCAAUUUAUCUCUAGAUGAUUUUAAUAAUAAUAUUAAUGUUGAGGAUUAACUAAUGAUGUUAAAAGUAGGAAUUAAGUGUUCUUUAUUUUACGUUUAUGACUUGUUAUAAAUUAUUCUUUACUUAUUUUAUUUUUAAUAAACUAUAUCUAUUUAGUGCAACGUGUCUUGUCCAACUUUUUGAAAAAUUGAUGUAUCUUGUGUCCGUGUGUGUUGUUCCUUGUGUCCUAUGUCCACAUCCAUGCAACUUGAGCAUUUUUAUUACCUUUUUUCAGAGGAGCAACAUUAUUACCAUUAAAAGACAAUUUAACACAGAUAGUUUUGAUUUUGUUUUGAUUUUAAAAAGCCAGAAAAAUUCUUAAUGUUGAAUUUUAUUAAUAUGACUAUAUGUGUAGUUAUUUUUUAUAGUAUUUAUUCUCGUAUUAUAUUUUUUUUGCUCCUCAUGUCACGUGCCAGCACUAUGCACCUUACUGCAGGACCCAUUUGCGCAUUAAUGCACCUUCUGCCUUCAAUAACUUUGAUGCUAUUGGAAUACUUCAUAUGCAUCUUCUCAUUUUCAAAAUAUGUGGAUGCUGUCAACUGGAUAAGGCGUUGCACCUUCACCUAUUCAUGCUCCAGCAAUGAACAGAUAAAAUUACUUUUGCAAUUUAUAGAAAUUUGGUUAUAGACAUCUGCAUUUCUGUGUGCUUGUGAGAAUUUUAUUGCCCAUAAUUUUACUUUCAUGUAUUUCAUUAUUCUAGACCUUUUACCUUUGGGGCUUUGUUAGCAUUAGCAAAGGAUCAACAUGACAUGCACAUGAAUAUACUAUUGGUGGCAUAACUUCCUAAAAGCUUUCCCUUAUUAGGUUACUGAAAUUGGCACCACUCAAUAAAUUUUUCUUCCCCCAGCCAAACAUUGUAUUUGGUUUACUGAAUUAUUUGUAUAUUUCCUAAAUAUCAAGUUUUCUCAUGUAAUAUCUCUUUAUUUUCCUCUGUAACUUUAACAAGAUAUCUGAUUGAUAUUGUGGUGACAGGUUACAGGAUGUAGUUCACAGUGAGAAGCGCCUGUAUUUGGUAUUUGAGUAUCUAGACUUGGAUUUGAAGAAGCACAUGGAUUCUUGUCCUGAAUUUGCUAAGAAUCCUCGUUUGAUAAAAGUGAGGGAGAUUUUACCUUUCCUUUCAGAGAUUUAUGCUUUCUUUAUUUUAUAGCAUUAUUCUAUGGUCAAAUUAGCAAUAUUUUUAUUCAUGUGGUUUUACAUUAUGUUUUCCAGUCUUCUUUGUGGAUUUCCUGUUAACAUUACCAUUAUUGCCUUAUAGGUUAGCAUGACUGAUUGAAUUUUACAUUUUAAAUUUUUCAUUUAUCAGGCUUCAGAAUGAUGUUGAUGGUGAUGUUAUUUAGGAAGUUAUGAUUAAGUAAUUAUUUUCUUGUUUUCUUUACAUGCAGACAUUCCUUCAUCAAAUACUCCGUGGCAUAGCUUACUGCCAUUCUCAUAGGGUUCUUCAUAGAGAUUUGAAACCACAAAAUCUGCUUAUAGAUCGCCGUACAAAUGCAUUGAAGCUUGCAGAUUUUGGACUGGCCAGAGCAUUUGGUAUACCAGUUAGGACAUUUACACAUGAGGUAUCAAUUGCACCAGUUUAGUUUUCUUGGUCUCUCUGUCCUUGCUAUAUAUGCUUGAUUAGGAUGUCUGAACUGUUUUGAUCUAAUCCUAUCAUACGUUUUCUUGAUUCUUUGGCUGUGAUGCACGGGCAUGCGAGAAGCUUGACAUUUCCAUGUUCCGGAAACAUUUCAGAAACAGAAACACCCAUAAACGGCUUGGAAACGUGUUGGGUCCAUUUCUGUAAAUACGGAAAAUCGGACACCCGUUUCCCUCCCCAGAAAUAUUUCUCGCAUUAAAGAAAAAAAAUCAGAUUUCAAAUCCAAAUCAAAUUUGGAUGAUUUGCAAAUCCUAUUUGGGAAAGGACAAAUAAUCGUACUUUUAAUUUUAAUAUUCAAACUUCAAAUUUAACAGAAUUUCAAUAUAUUUUUCAAUUUUGACAUUGAAUAUGUUGUUUUCUUUUUUCUUUAUUGAGUAUGGAACUUAUAAACUUUUUUUUUCUCUCUUUUGGAUAUGAUUUAUUUUUAGUUAUAGUUAGAAAAAUUUAUCUAUGGUUGAUUGUCCUUUAAAAAUUAUAAACGCACUCUUUCUAAAUUAUUUUUAUAUUUAUUCCUAUAUUUUUAAAUUUUAUAAAUAAAUCCCUGUAUUUUUUAUAUUUACACAUUUCCCCCAUGUUUUUGUUUCUUAUAUUUUUUAAAAUGCCAUUUCCCUGUGUCCGUUUCCCUGUUUCCUCAUUUCUCUGUCCGUGCAUCAUAGUUCAUUGGUAUAGCACUGCAAAUUUUGAGUUAUCCUUUUCAAACUGAGAAUGACAAGCUUUAAAUAUUAUGAGAAGAAAGGCAGAGUGCUAAUUAUUGUUCGGUUGGCAGAGUGCUAAAUAUUUGUGCUUCUCCUGUACUUCAAUUAGUAUAAGGUAGUUUCUCUUAUUACAUCCUAUUAGAAAAAAUCUUUAAUAAGCAUAGAAUGUUAGCUUGAUUUCUACCUCAUUAAGAGAGAAAACACACACACACACACACACACACAAAGGAAUUAUCUAUGGUUUACUAACCUGAAAAUAGCCACUUCAAGGUAUGAGUUGGUACUGUUUGGCCCAAGUCUCUUGAGUUGUCAAAUCUUAGCCCUUUCUCAGUCCAGAUGCAUAAAUAUUCCCUCUGCAAGGUAUGUUGAUUCCGCAUGGGAAUGUGUAGAUCCUUCUGGAUUUGGCUAAAUAAUGAUGUCAGAUACCUUGAUGAACAUCAACUCUUCGCCCUACCACUUUUCUUUUUAUUUAACUUUUGAUAGUAAGAUAACUGCAAUUGCUAGUGAUCUUUUUAAUGCAUAUAAACAAUAUCAUUGAUAUUGGUGACUAGUGGUUACAAUGUUUUGGUGCCUCUAGGUGGUAACCCUGUGGUAUAGAGCACCAGAAAUACUGCUUGGAUCUCGACAUUACUCAACUCCUGUUGACGUGUGGUCAGUGGGAUGUAUAUUUGCCGAGAUGGUGAAUCAGCGGCCAUUAUUUCCUGGGGACUCUGAGAUUGAUGAACUAUUCAAGAUUUUCAGGUCUUAUGUCUUCUUUAUCGUUUGGUUUCCUUGAUAUUCAUGGUUAUACAUGCCGUUCAAACUUUGCCUAGCUAUACUCGAUCUAUUUUAUGCAUUCAAUCUUCCUGCCAGUUUUGCAUUUCUCUGUAAAUAAUUUUCUUUGAAAGAAUAUCGCACAGAUAAUAUGGGAUAAAAAGUUUAGCAUUAUCAAUCUUAAUGAAAAUUGUUCGGAGGCACCACAUGAAGCUUCCUCUUCUAGCUAUAUGUGUGGGGUGGUUGAAAUUGAAAUUUUUUUUUGCUUGUUCCAUGAUUUGAUAAUGACUUUGGAACCAAGCUUGAGAAUUCAAUUGAGAGUUUCUUGGAAUUCAACCAACCAUCCUAGUGGUUGCAUAACUGUCCUAUAGUACAUGCGAUCAAGGUUGCUUUCAUUUUCACUUUCUGAACACGCUUGCACAAACAAAUAUUGUAUUUCAAAAACCAAGAAACUAUUUGAUCUCCAUGGCAUCCCUACAUGCCGUUGAAGUCAAAUUAUUGUGGAAUACAGUUAAAAAAAGAAAUGCAAAUCUACAAAAAUGUGUUUCACUUGGCAUUCUACUGCUUGAUAUUGGUUCAUUUGUAGAGUCUUGGGAACUCCAAAUGAGGACUCAUGGCCUGGGGUGACUUCUUUGCCUGACUUCAAGUCUGCGUUCCCUAAGUGGCCACCUAAGGUCUCGUUCUUUAUAUUUUCUUUGCAUGAAUCCAGUUUUUUUCAUUUUAUUUCUUUUACUUGUCUCUGAUAUUACUUAUAUUUUCUUGACAAAUCUUAUGCGUUCUUUACUUUACAGGACUUGGCAACUGUAGUUCCAACUCUUGAUUCUGCUGGCAUUGACCUUCUUUCCGUAAGUUCAGGCUUUAUAUUUACACGCACUCACAAAAUUCUCUCUCUAAACUAGAAGUCUGUAAUUUGCACUGAAAGUUAUUGGAACUCUUUAAUAAGUAGUGCUUGGACUUGACAACUACCGAUUUUUGUUGCUGCGAACUUGAGUUUAGAGUUGGUUCACCUAAUUAUUAUGAUGUGAUUGUUUAUUUUUUCUGUGCUUUAACUUAAUACCAUUCUAUAUUAUCAACAAUGCCCAGUUUCUAUGCAACUAAAUUUCGAAUCUUUUCAAUGCCUCGUGUGCUUUGAACUUGCCAGAAAAUGCUAUGUUUGGAUCCCAGCAAAAGAAUUACAGCCAGGAGCGCUCUUGAGCAUGAAUACUUCAGGGACAUCGGUUUUGUACCCUAAUUUCACUUCUCAUCAAGAAUAUAUAUAGAUAUAUAUCAUUGUAUAGCACUUUGGUUGAUUUUGAUUGUGCGCAAAGCAGGCUUGUUCCCUCCCUGUUAUUUGCUCUUCGAUUUUAUUGGCUUUGAACUGAUUCGUUUUGUUGGAAUUGUGUAGCAUCUAUUGUUUUAGAGAGAUACAAAGGAAGUACAGAGAGUAAAUUUUUGUUAUUUUCCUGUUUGCUUGUAAUGGAUGAUACUAUGCUUUGAUUAACAAUAUAUUCCAAUCUUCUCUUUUGCCUGAUUAAUUUAGCAGAAAAUUUUCCUUCAGGUGCUUGUUGGCUUCUUCAUUCGUAACGUAUCCAGGUUUUUGGAUUUCAUUGUCUGAAUCUUGUUAUACAUAUAUAUGAAAUAGAGAAAGCCUGAACUUUGGCCAAUUUUGCAACUUUAGAACUCUUUUAAUUUUGGCAAUUGUGAUAGCGAACUUCAUUUUUUUUUUCCGUUGUGAUUGUCUGCUAAAAGUUAUUGACAUCGUCGAUAGUGGGUCCAUGUUUUGACAGGAAAGAAGGUAAAAAUAUUUUACCCUUAUGAACACAUUUGGCUAUUUAAAAUGUUUUAUAAACACAUUUGGCAAUUUAAAAUGUUUUCUAAACACAUUUGGUACAAUGUUGUUGUAUUUAGAAUGAAAAAAAAUAUAGAUUUUGAAUUUUAUGAAUUGAAUUUUAUGGAAUUGUGUAUGCUUAAUUUAAAUUUUACUAAAAUUGAUAGAAUUUAUAAAUAAAGUUUAUAAAAUUGAAUAUUGAAAUGUUUAUUGAUAAAAUUACAUUUUAUUAUAAAUUCAACUAUUUUUAUUUUUUUCUUAUUUAUUUAUUUUCUUUGGAAAAUUUUAAACUAUAACCAUGUUAUUUUUUUAAUCCAAUAAUAACAUUAGUUUAUGUUUCAUUAUUAUUUUUAAAGUCUAAACUGUGUUUUUUUUUCUAAAUUUAGUGAUAAUGUUAGUUAUUAUUAUUAUUAUGAAACUAUAAAAACUAAUGCAUUGCUUUCAAAUGCAAUGCAAUUAAAUACAAUAGUAACAUUUUUAAUAUUUUUUAAUUUUUAAAUUAAUUACUUAAAUCAACAAAUCUUUUAUAUCGAUUAAAAAAUUAUUAUAAUAAAUAUUACUGUUUAUAUAAUUAAUUAAUUAACAUGGAUUAUUUGUGUACUUAUUUAUAUGAAAUUUAUUAUUUAUAUUUUAAUAAAAAUAUGACAAGUUAUUAUAUCAUACGUAAUAAAUAUAAUUGUAUUUAUUUUUUGUUUAUUAAAUUAUUAUGUCAAUGACGUUAUAAGAAAUAAAAGUAGAAUUUAUUUAUAAAUAAAUUCUAAAGUAGAAUUUAUUUAUAAACAAAUUCUACAAUCGUGAUUCAUUUGUGCCAAAUGGAUAGUUAGGGUAAAACUAGUUAGAGAAAUGAAAAUUUACGUAACUUUGUGAAAAAUGUUAGUUAUCGGUUAGACUUAGGUUAUUGAAACGUAAAACAAGUCAUUUGUUAUUAUCUUUUUUUUUUUUUUUAAUGUCAUUUAUUAUUAAAAUAAUAUUAACUGUUAUCCAUAUAGUUAUACUAAGUAUAAUGGAAAAUUUGUUUUAUGGAUUCAAAGGACACCGAUACAAAUUGUUCAACAACAGUAGAAAUAUCAAUAAUCACUUUAAUAAAAAAUUUUGUUAAGCUAAUAUUUCUCCUCUAAAGUGAAAUAAAAGCAUAUAUUUUCUUCUAAGAAGCUUAAUUAUGUAAAUAAUAUUUUAAAAUUAUUGUGAUUUUAUUCAUUUAAAUUGAAACUCAUUUAUAGAAUGCGAUCUUCAAAAAACAAUCCAAAACUUAGCACUAAUUAGUUAAGUUCAAACAUCAUAGUAUUAUAAAAGAUAACUCAAAAUUUAAUUUUGUACUAUUUAAUUAUAUAAUAUGCAAACACUAAUAACGAACUGUAUUCGUUUAUGCUCGUUAAAAAUAAAAAAUUUUCAAAAAUACUAUCUAUAAUAGGAUAAUUUUUAAUCAUCCAUCUUUAUGUGAAAUCAUAUGGAUAUUUUUUCUAAGCUAAAUAUAUGUAUUUUUUUAAAAAAAUUAAUAUAUAUAUAUAUAUAUAUAUAUAUAUAUAUAUAUUAAUCUUAAAAUGAAAGUCAGAAAAAAAAUUCAAAAGAGAACAUUUAAAGCAAUUAAUUUAUUUAUCAUCAUCACCGUCGGCGGCCACCAUUUAAAAUACCCUUACCGAAUAGUAUUAAAUUUUGUACAGAAGUUAAAGCAAUUUAAUUUAUCAUCUACAAACAUCAUUGCCGGGCAACUACUGUUUAAUUCAUUUUUUUUAUAUAUAAUUUUAAAUAUAAUUUAUCAUCUACAAAACAUCACUGCGGCCCAGUACUAUUUAAUUCAUUUUUAAUAUAUAAUUUUAAAUAUUUUUUAUAGUUUUAUAAAUAUAAUAAGAAAAUAAGAAUAUAAUUAUCAAUUAAUUAAAAAAUUAAUUUUUGCCUAUGCAGGUCGGUUUUAUUAGGGCUCUGCAUAGUUCCUGAGAUUCGAACCAAAUUGAAAAACUGUAUUGACCAAACCGAAAUUAAAAAAAAAUUGAGAUAAUAAGAGAUGAACCAUACCGAACUGAAUGCAAUUUAUUAUUUUAAUUUCAAUUUCGGUUCUUAUAAUUGAAACCACACCAAAAUUAUACUAGAACCGCAUGAACCGAAUCAAAUCGAAAACUGAUAUAUACGCAUAUUUUUUUCAUUAAUCUAAUCUUUUAAGUAUAUUAUGUUAUUUGUAUCCGGCAACAAAUUUUAUUAUUUGCAAAUAAAAUCUCUAUUAGUUAAUAAUUGAGGAGAGAGAUUCGAACUUGAAUAUAUUGUCAGAUCAUAUAUGAACUUAUCAAUAAUUAGCUAUGCCUUUUUUACUUGUAAUAAAUAAUUUCAAUUUAUACUCCAUUUAUUCUACAUAAAAGAUUAUAUUUGAUGGUUCCUAUCAUCUCUUAUUGUAUAUAAUAUUCAUAAAUCUUUAUAUAAUAUUUUUGCUAUUUUUAUAAUUUAAAUAAAACAUGUUUUAAUCAUUUAUUCUUUAGGAAAAAUUUAUAUAGGUUAUUCUAUCUUUUAAAGUGACAAUGAAUGUAUUGUCACUUUGGAGAUUUCAUAGAGCUUGUAAGACAAUGAGAGAUUCUUUUUGUAGACAACAGAAAUAAAAUUUCAUUAUUCAAUUAUUAGUUAUGAUUUAUUGUUAUUUGCAACGUUUGUGUUAUUAUUUUAGAGAUUACUUAAAACUUUAAAGAUCAUGAAUCAAAGUUUUUUUUUUUUAUAAAAUUUCAUUAUUGACCAUUAUUUUUUUAAUUUCUAUUUUAGUAAGAAUGUAAGAUUUGAUUCUUUUUUUAAUUAGAAUAUAUUUUAAUUUUAUUUUAAUAUUAGAAUAUUUUUAUAUAAAAGAAUAUUGUAAUGUAUUUUAAAAAUAUAAUAAUUUUCUAUUUUUUUAAAAAAUAAUAAUGUUUUCAUCUUUUUAAAAAAUAAUUUUUAAUACAGAACUAGAUUCGGAACUAAAAUCAAAAGCAAAGAGCCGCAGAAUUAUACCGAAUUUAUUUCUCUUAAGAACAAUAUUAAUUAACUAAAAAUUAACUAAAAUCAAUUUGGCCCAUGCAGGUUUCGAACCUGCGACCUUCGCGUUAUUAGCACGACGCUCUAACCAACUGAGCUAAUAGGCCUUUUUGAUAGAAAUUUUAUUACUAUAUAUAAAAUAUUAAAAUAUUAAAACAGUCUUUUCUUCCCCUUUUGUUUUUUUUUUUGGUGUCUCUUCAUCGUGGAUUUUAUCAUAUGGUGAUACCACAAUUUAUCUCCAAACUAUGGCCAUGUUUUUUUUUUUUUUUUUUUAUCUUUUAUUUACCAUAUAGCUGUGUUGAUUGACUUUUAUUCACAAAACGUUCUGUUAUUUAAUAACUAUUUAUUUUUUUAUCUUUUUAACCUUUUAUUAGACUUUUUUAUAGGAGACUUUAAUCUUGAUUUGUAGGUGUGGAUUUUUGAUCGAUAGAGCCUGGUAACGUGAUAUGUUCAUCCAUUAAUGUUAUUGACGCAUAGUGGUUGAAACUCAUUUAUAUUCUUCAUGUGCUACAAAUUAAUAAAAAAGUAAUCCAACUAAAAAGAUCUAAAGAAGUUAUUAUCUUUUUAAUUUUUAGUUUCUUUAUUCAAAAGAAUAUGAAUUCUUUUAUUUCGUUAAAAGAUCAACAAAUUUUAUUAGCGAUUAAUAGUAAAAUUCUAUGCCUGUCUAUACGAUUAUUUAUAAUUCUUAUAUUAUUUUUAAUGAAAUAUAUUUAUAGAAAACCUCUUCACAUAUAUAAAAAUAUUAUUAAAAGAAAUAAUUUUAAAGUUGGUGUUUGAAUUUGUCUCUUUUUAUUUUGAUCCCUCAAUGUUUGAAUGAGUAUUUUUUUCUAUUUAAAUACAUUUGCUGUAAUUUCUAAUCAAAAUAUUAAAAUAAGCUAUUUGUCGACAUAAUUGUUAAUUUUUUUCUCUUAAUUAUCUCUUAAAAUAUAUAUUUUCUCAUUUAUAUACAUGAAAAUUUUAAAAUUUUUCUAUCAAGCAGUAAAAAAAUAAAAUUUGAGAUGUUUUAACCAAAAAUGAGCUUAACCAUUUAAUAUAUAUCAAAAUUUGAUACUUUUAACAAUUACGUUUUAAAUCCAACUUAAUCCGUCGGCCACUUUAAUAGUAAACGUUAAUAAAAAUCGUACCUCAUUUUUAAAUUCGUCAAGGUUACGUAAUAAAAUAAUAUUAUAUUUGGGACCCACAUUCAUUACUCGGGUUACAUUAAUCAGCCCAUGGUUAAGUGAAACGGGAGUUUCACUCAACCAAACGCUAACCCAGAUUUUCAAUUUUUUUUUUUCAAUUUAAUUUAUAUUUAUAUUUUUUUUAAUUUUUCAUUUUAAAAGAAAUUUUUUUUAUCUAUAUUUAUAUAAAUCCACGUAUUUGUAUACUUAUAUCUAUACCUAUUUUUCUUUUUUCUUUUUUUUUUCUAAUUUUUAUUGCUCAUAAGUUAAUUUUCUUUUAAUUAGACACUAAUGAAGCUAGAACUAAUCUCAUAAUGAUGUUCUUUAUUUUUUUUUUCUAAUAAUUAAUAAAAGUAGUAGUGCGAUGUCGUUAAUAUUCUUUCAAAUAAUAAACUGUUUUAGUUUUUCUUUAGAUCUUUUAGUUUCUUUUUUUAAUAAUAAUAAAAUUAAUAAUAUGAUUAAUGUAUUAUUUCAAAGCAAUAAAUAAAAUAAUAUUAUUUUCAUUAAUUUUAAUUUCUUUAUUAAUAAAAAUUUUUUAUUAAUAUUUUCAAAUAAUAAAAAAUUAUAAUAAAACUGCAUAUUCACACAAUGCACAAGUGACAAGGACAUAACUAGUUGAAAAUAUAUGUCCAUUAUCAAUUAAUAAAAAUAAAAUUAAAACUAAAAAUAACAAAAUUCAAAAUACAAGUAUUAAUAAAUAAUAUGGUUAUUACUCAAUAAAAUAGUUUAAAUAUUUAAUGAUGGUUUUAAGCUGAGAAGGUCAUAUACUUCUUUUUGUCUCUAUUAGCGUUGACAUAGACAUUAUUUUGCCAACAGAAAAAUCAAUUCAUUAUGCAAAUGGAUCAAUAGUUUGAAGCUUCUUACCUUUACAAAACCAAAGCACCUGUUAUUCAAAGAACAGUUUUCUUAAAAAUAAAAAACUAGAAAAUAGAAAAUAAAAAAUACAUUCAUUUAUUAAUAAUAAAAUUAUAUUUUAAUUUAAAAACUUUAUAAAUAUUUCAGAACUUUCAUAAUCAAAAAAUAAAUUUAAAAAUUUUUUAUUUAAAAUAUAUAGGUACAUAAGUGGAACUCCGAUAGAACAAAUCAAAUCCUACACAAAUAAGAAAGAUAGAGUUCUCACUAAUUGAGAAUAUAGACUUCUAGCUCAUGUAGGACAUCCACUAAUUUCAUAACACUCUCCUUGGAUGUCCGUUCUUCAAAGAAUAUGUCUCGUUAAAACCUUACUAAGAAAAAAACCCUGGUGAAAAAAAAUUUUAGUGAAGGAAAAAAGAGCACAUCAUUCUUUUCUUAAAUACAGGUUGAAAUACCGUCUCAUUAAAAACUUUUAUAAGGAAAAUCCAGUUGGAAAAAAAUCUUAGUUAAAGGAAAAAAGAGUACCGUGCAUAUUUAUUUCCCCUCGUUAAGAUAAAUUUUGAGAUAUUUGAGUUUAUGCAUUCCAAUUUUGUGGAUAAAUUCUUCAAAACUCGAGGUAGAAAACUUAUAGUAGAAAGUAUUUUGAUGAGCAAAUCAACAAUAUCGUCGCUUGACUGGUUGAACUUUAAUAUAGAUAUUCUUUUUGAAGAUCAUGAAUGAAGAAAAAUUUUGGUGAAGUAUAUUUUUCUUACCUCCUUAAACAUGUCCACAUAAAAUAUUUUCUUCUUAUAAUAUUGUAAAAAUUUCUUUUUGGACAAAUAGAUUGCACGUACUCCACAUGUAAAUGUAAGUUGUUUGUAAUCUAACAUAAUAUGGAUUAGAUAAAUAAUGUGCAUUUUCAUAGCAUCAAAUCGGAUUUUGACAUGCUAGUUAUAAUAUAAAUUCAUAUCCGUCAUAUAACAUGGAGAUCUCAAAAUAUAUAUUUUACUCCAUUUAAUUUUUUUAUAUUCAAGAAGAACUAUAUCUUGCAAAUAAAAUUUAUAAAAUGCUAUGUAUCAAGUCAUAUGACAAACAAGAUACACUAACGUUUUUAUCGCAUUAAAAAAUGCUACUUCAGAACUAAUUAGUUCUUUAUAAUUUUUCAAAGUUCAAAUAUGGUCAUGUUCUCAGCAAGUGACUUCAUGAUCAUCGAUAUUCACAUUAAAUCAUUUUAAUAACUUAGUUAUAUGUGUGAAUUUAUAGACAAACUUCUAUGUAUAAAUUGCUCAAUUUUCAGGCCGAGAAAAAACUUUAUAUUCUCAAUAUUUUUCAUUUCAAACUCUUCCUUUGAGAAAUCUAUAAUCUUUAAAAGCUCUUAAAGGAGUUCAAUAAUGUACAUGAUCAAAUAAUAACAAAAUCAUAUUCAAAUAUCUCUAUAAAAAUUCAUGAACAUAUAAUAAUAAUAUAUAAUCAUAAUAUUUUUUCAACAAAUAUUUACUAUUCAAGAGCUCACUUUACUCAUAAUAGCCUAUAAAGUAAAUAUCAAAAGUAUGAAAAUAUAUGACUUUCAACAAAAGAAUAUUAUAAAUACAAUAUAAUAAUUAUAAAAUAACAUAAUAUUUUCUCAGCCAUAAAUAUUAUUAAGGUGAUUAUACCAUAUGUAUGGAGACAAUCCAUAUAAAAAUCUUGAAUAUAUUUCUCAGGGUCUCGAUUUUGCUUCAUUGAAGCAUUUUUCAAUACUUUAUGGAUAUCAUUAUCCACUAAUCCAUAUAGAGUUUGAAUAAUUUUUUGAAAAUUUAAUUUUAUGCAUCAAGUAACUAAAAUCCUUCAGGGAUUUUCAUAUAUAUCUACAUCAAGUGAGGAAGUGAGUCAUGUAAAUAGACAAUCACUAAUCAAGUGGACACAUUUCGAGUUUUUAUAAAUUGUCAAACUAAUCAAAUGUCAAAUUAUAAUUGCAUCCAGCAUAUAAGGAUAUUUUAUUCUCAUAAUCAAUGUCAGUUCUUUGCAAAAAACUUGUGCAACAAGUUUGCUUUAUUUCUCAUGACCCCAUUUCAAUUCCGCACAAAUACAUAUUUAUAUUCCACUGGCUUAACAUCUCUUGAUGUCCAGAAUAAAACUUCAAAAACUUUAAUUUUCAAGUAAAUUAUAUACCAUAUGCAUUCAUUCUAUUUUUUGGCCAAUCAAUUCUAUGUCUAUGUUCUGAAAUAGCCUAUGCUCAAGAUACUCAUCAUUUUUCACAGUUUCAAGCGCUAUAUUGUAUACAAAAUUAUUGUCAACAUUUAUUUUUAUGUCGGUUCAAACUUUAUUAAGACAUGAUUUAAUUUAUUGAGAUAUCAUUAUUUUCAAUAAUUUCAGGUACUUGAGUUUUUUCUAGAAACUUAUUAUUCAUGUCAAUAACUUCUUCCACAGUUUGUUCUUCUAGAGUUCAACGAUCUUGAAUAUUUGCUCAUUUUAUUUGAUUUUUAUCUUUGAAACUGAUCUACCACGCUUUAGGUGUGCCGUAGAUUCAUUAGUAUAGACAGUUUGUCAUUCAGGGACUUUAAUUCAAAUAAGAGUAUUUGCAGCUAGUAUGUGAGAUUAGUUAUUUCAUGUUGGAUUAGGAUAUAUCUGGCAAGUAAUUUACAAUGUUUUGUAGAUGAAUUAUUUUUUAAACUUUUAAAUUUAUAAUGCCUUGUAUGAGGAUCAAGAUAUAAUAACGAUAAUUCUUUUCCAAUUAAUUAUACUUUUAACUGUUUAUUUUCUUCCCUAAUGUUAGGAUUCAUAACAAUUAGCAACUUUGGCAUUCAAUAAAUGCCUCAUAAAAAAUAUUCUAGACAUUCAACCAUAGAGAGAAAUUUAUACCCUACUUAUUUUUCAACCUCCUUUGAGGACCAAUCUUAGUACGUUGUGGUGGAACAAUUAGAAUAUAUACUAUACAUUUAAAAAUUCAUCAAUGUGUAAUAUUUGGUUUUUAAUCCAAAACCAAUUACAAAGGGGAGAACAUAUAGUAACUUAUUGACACGAUGCGAGUAAAUGCUACUAUAUAUAAUAGCAUGUCCCUCUAUAAUAAUAGGGAGCUUUGUUCUCAUAAUAAUUGCCUUUGCAAUUCUAAUAAAGUGUGAUAGAUUUAAUAAAAAAGGUUGAAAGUGACCCAAAUGGUACAAGUAGGCAAUAAAUGCACUUCUUGGAACUACCUUUUGUGUGAGCUUUUUUUCCCAUAAUUAAUGAAGAAAUGAAGGAUAUUUUAGGGAGAAAACUUCAUUUACCUAACUUUUUAAUCGAAGAGUUUUUUCUGUUUUCUCUAAAUAAAGAGAACAAAAAGGAGUAUAUAUGAUCAAUAUUUGGUGAAAUUGAAUUCAGAAUUUAUGACAAAUAAACAAAAUAACUCUAAAUAUAAUUAAGGAUUGGUUCAUAAUAAAGGUUAUCUUUUAUAAAGUUAUGAAUAGUCUCGCAUGAUAAAUACUAAUACAAUUUAUAAAUACUUUGCCAAAUAUAAUAAUAAUAAUAGAUCCAAAAUAACAGAUCAAAUUAUUAUAACGGUCUCCCUUAAUUUAAAACAAUAUUUAGAACAAUAAUACCUACAUGUAAAAAAUCAAAAUUUUUAUUUUUCUUCAAUCACAGAUCUAUAAAAUUAUUAAUUAAUUCCACUAAUAAAUUAUUUGAUUAAAUAAUUAUAGCUUUAAGAAAGCGUAUAAAAUGUUACCUUCUUAAACAUUAAUAAAUUUGAAGACAUCAGUUUUAAUUUUGAUUGUUACAAACUAUAAGUUAUCCUCUUUUUUUUAAGCGAUCUGAUCAAAAGAUCUUUCUUUAAACAAUUUGCGAUUGCAUUUGCGAUUUGAUCAAGAGAGUGAUAUAUUUGAUCAAGAGAGUGAUAUAAUAAAAAAUGAUAGAACAAAAUCGUGCUGAUAACAUAUUAUAAAAUAAUAGAAAAAUAGAAAGAAGUAAAGAUAGAAUAGGGAGAAUACAAGGGUGUAAUUCUUAUUGAUAAAAAACCUAGAACCCUAAUAUAACAAAUAGAGUCCUACGAAAAUAAAAAAGAUAGAGUUCUGACUAAUUGGGAAUAUAAACUUGUAGUGAUAUAACACAUCCACUAAUUUCAUAACAUUUUCCAAUUUCCUCGAGUAAACAAACCCAAAAUUAUCUAAAAAUUAGAUUCACAUCAUCUCUCUACUAAAAUGGUGAAAAAGAUAUAUUUUUUCCUAAUUUGAGCCCAAAGAAUUAGGGAUUCAAACAAUAAUUUUGAUAAAGGAAGGUCAAAUUAAACUUUCUUUUCAAUUUUUUUUAACACUAAAAAUUGAAAAUUUUUUUAUAUAGGAGCAGGGCCCUUUUGGGCCAUAUGUGUGUCGGUCCCUGAAUGUGUUAUUGUAAUGUUCACUUGAAAGAUUGGCAACUAACCCCGAACACAAACACAAAGCUUUAGCUACCUCUCAUUCAAUCACUACUUACAAACAAAGCAAUAAUGACCUCUACUAUGUCUUGACACUUGGUUGGAGGGCCAUUAGCUCAUCCAACACAGCCUUAGCUUCAUGUUAUUGGUCCACCGAAUUUUCUACAUUUUGUUCCUGUCCACAAACGUGGAACUAUAUCACACAAUGAUCUCACCCCUCACAUUUUUCCUUUAGAUGAGGUGUGAUUUCCAAAAUUUAGUUUUUUUUAUUGAAAAUUAUCUUCGAAAAUAAAAUUCUAAGAAAAUAUUGUGAGAAGGUUGAAAAAUUAUCGUGUUUAAAUAAAUGUUAUUAUUAGCUGCUAUUUUGAAAGUAUUCUGUAAAAAUAGUUAUUUGAUUGGUUAUUAAAUUUAAAAUGAUAAAAAUAAGUAAAAGUAAAUUUAUAUUACAUGUAUAACUUGCUAAUUUGUAAAAAAAAGUAUUGGAUAUAAUAAGUGUAAAAUAUUAUCAUUAAUUAUCCCAUUUUAUUAUUUAUUAUCAUUUAAACUAGUCAAAAUGCUAAAAAUCUAACGAUAUAUAAAUGUGGAAAUAGGAGGAAUAAUGAGAUUUUCGAUGGCGCCCUUGAUGAAAUUUGAGUGUCCUAAAAUAACCUUAGUUAUAGCUAAUUAAAAAAAUUACAUUUUAUUAGUUGAUUUGAUAUAUUUAUAAAAAUUAUUUUUUAAGACAACAAUAUGUGGUCUGAUUGUCUUUUCACUUAUGUGAAGAGUAAGAGGUCUCAAAUUCGAGUCCUCUCGACCGCAAGUGUUUUCACUCAUUUGGUUAAUGUAGAAAAUGAUUAUUCUUUGUCGGGUAACCCACAGUGUUAUUUCGGCAUCAAGCAUUCUAAUGAAUCGAAAAAAAAAUUCUAUAAAUAAUUAAACAUUUCAAAAUUUUAAAUUUUAUUUUUAUUAAAUUUAGUUUUUAAUAAAUAUAUAUGAUAAUGAGACAUUUGAAAUUUUUUUAAUAUUUUAUUUAUUAAAUAUUUAAUUUCAUUUUGAUUAUAAUUGAAAAAAUUUUAUUUAUGGGAUAGAUAAAAAAAGAAAGAAAAUAUAUUCCUCUUAUUAAUAUUCUCUUUUUUUAUGUUUUUAUGAUUUGAUUGGAUAUAUUUUUUAAACAUAAAUUUUCAAAUAUAAUAUAUAUAAUAUUUUAUUUAGAAGAGAGAUGAAAAAAGAAGAAAAAAAGUAUAUUAUUUUUAUUAAAAUUUUUUUUUAUAUAUUUGUAAGAUUUGAUCGGAUAUAUUUUUUAAAAAGUAAAUUUUUAAAUAUAAUUCAUAUAAUUAAAUCUGAUAUGACAGACGAUUGAAAAUUUUAAUUUAAAUACAUAAAAAGUAGCACCGUAAGUAGUUGAUAUGGCAAAGUGUAAUACAAAUUAACAACUUGUAUUUAUUUCAGUCUAAAUAAAAUUUAUAUUUUAAUAUUAUAUAGAUAAAAAAAUAAAUAUAUAAUUAAUAUAAUCAACGUGUAACCCAUAUCAUAAAAAAAUAGUAGUUACUCUAAAAGUUGUAGAACUUGUUUUAUAAUAAUUAGGCUUAUUACUUUGUAAAGAAAGAAUAGAUAUGAGAUCCAAAAAUUAUCCAUUAAUUAAUUGAAAACACUAAAAAUGAGAUGAAAUAAUGUUUUACCAAACACUCCAUUAAUCUCUAAAUAUAAUUAUCUUACUAAAUCUUAUAAUUAAUAAGUAUAAUAUUUUGACCGGUUAAAAUAUUUAAAAUUAAAAUGGUUGCAAACUGUAGUAAAUCCUCUUAAUAAUAAAAAAGAAAAAUAGCUGGGCCCCAUACGAGGCACAAUGCUGACGGCUGACCAUUGAGAAAUGUAGUAAAUUGAGGGUGCAACUUCUAGAAGCAUGAAGUCUGGAAUCAUGACGAUUCAUGCACGCAAAGGCAAAGCUGACAAUUUUUUAUUCUUAAAAUUAAUUAUUUCAGAGCAAAAUUAAUGGUGGGCCUCCAUCCCACCAACAAAUUUUCAUACGGACUAACAAAUGCUAGUAAUAAUUUACUAAUUUCUUAAUAAAUUCCAUGUAAUAAAUUACAAAGUAUUAGAUAUUAUUUAUUUACAUAUUAAGAUUGUGUUCGACAAUAACUUUUAAGUAGUCAAAAUGCUAAAUAUUAUUUUUUAUAGUUUUCUGUAAGAUAGUAUUUUAACGUGACUUUUAGAGAUUAACGUAGCUUAUUAUAAAAAGUUAAUCCAUAUAAGAUUAGCUUUUAGCAUUUUAUACAAAACUAUUCAAACAACUAGGAGUAAAAUGCUACUAAAACAGCUAACAACAAUCAAAAUGAUUAAUGUUGUCAAACAUGUACUAAUAGCAGAAGUAGAAAUUGAAUUUGAGACCCUUAAUCAUAAGCUAUUAGGUCUAAGUUAACCAUUUUAACUGCUUAUAUAACAAUUAAUAUUUUAUUUUUUCAAAGUUAUAAUAAAACGUUCCUAUGUGCUUUUGUUUGAUUUUAAUUAAUAAAAGUAACAAAUUUCAUAAACUCUAGAUUUUAUUUGGAAAGGAAAGAAAAUAAAAUAUUGGAGGAAGAAAAUAAUGGAAUUAUUUGCACAUAAAAAAAUGUAAUUUUCUCAAUUUACUUGUGUUUUUUUUCUCAUAUUUGGAGAGAUUUUAAUUUUGCAAGCUAGAAGGAAAUAUAGUAUAUAUUUUUCUUCCUCAAUAUUUUUCUCUCCCUUUUUAAAUAAAAGAAAAUUUUUUUCUUAAAUAUUUUUUGACAUUUUUUUUCUUUCAAAAAAAAAAAUCGUCUUUUCAAAUAAAGGAUUAAAGAUUAAAUACUUAAUGGUAACUUUUUUUUAACGAAAGAAUUAUUAGUUCCCAAAAAAAAUAAAAGGGUGAUGUUUGACAUUCAACAAAAGAAUCCAUACCAAAAUAUUUAAGGGAGAAUUACUAUUUAGUUAUUUCAUUAUGAUCAAAUACACUAUUCAGUUCAUACUUUUUUUAAAAUAUACGAUUACGUCCCAAAGUUUUAAUCCUAUCAUACAUUUCAAUUGUUCCGUCCAUUUUUAGUGUAUUUAGUCGUGAGUCAAAGUAAAAAAAAAAGUCAAAUACAUGAGAAAACAUUUAAAUGUCAAAACUAACGCUAUACACACAAGUAAAAAUGACCUACCAAUUUCAAACAACUUAACUUUCCUAUUCAUUACCAGUGAUAUUGAUGAUUCUAAUGUAGACAACAAUAAAUCUAAGCAAAAUCCGAAUUGCUAACUAUCAAACACCUACAUUACCAUUAUAGUUGGAUAAAUGAGGGUUGUCUUUUAAUUUAAUGGUAAGACUAUAAUCCUUCUGCAUUUGAAUUUCCUACUAAAUCGUCUGAUUAUAAUAUAUUUAUACUUGGUGGCUGAACAACAUUCAUUUUGCUAUAUCCAUUAACAAAUUUGAUGUAUUUAGAAUCUCUUCCUUGUCAAUAAAUGUUUGACUUGAUUCAAUAUGGUUAAUGCUGAAAGACAAUAUGCCUUUUAUUUUAAAGCGAUUGAUAUCUGAAUUUAACCUAGCUUGGUUGCUUGGCCAUCGUGCACUAGCAGUAGUGUCUGGUACAUCACUAGCUUAUAUUGAAGUUGGUAUUAAAUAAGAUAAAAUAAACUUAAAAGUUUAGGGUUGCGAAGGGAUAUUUAAAUGAUAGAGCAGCGACGCCGUAACCAGCAACUGUUGUUUCAAGAACAUGAUACUACAUACUCAAUCAUAUAUGAAUGGUUUUACGUGGCUUCUAAAUCUUAGAUGCUCAUUUCUCACUCUUAUUGUAAAUUUUCGGUAAGUCAAAUGCCUUUCAAUGGAGGAAAAUCCAAUAAUAUUGCCCUGGGAAGGUCGAUGUUUGAGAUUUUUUGAUGGAGGAAAAACUUUUUGCUAAUGGUUUUUUAGUAGGGUAUUUUUGUCUUUUAUUACCAUUUAACGACUAAACACAAAAAAUGGACGGAAGGACUGAAGUGUCCAAUGAAAUUAAAAUUUAGGGACUAAUCAUGUAUUUUAAAAAAAGCAAGGACUGAUUAGUGUGUUUGACCAUAUUAAACGGACUAAAUAGUAAUUCUCCCAAUAUUAAUAUAUAAAUAAAAUACUAAUAAUAAAUAAAUAAAUUAUUAUAAACGUAAACUAGCGUUAGAAAGGGACCUAACCCCCAACAGAAAACUACCUACCACCGUUUCCCUCGUCUUUACUUUCUCUCUGUACUUUAAUGUCUUUAAAAAUUUCAAAAUAAAUAAUAAAUAACAAUAAAACAUUCACCCACCAAACCAAAAAAAAAAAAAAAAAGGCGCUUAGUUUGCACCUCCUUCACGUUGUCUAAACCUUCUCUUCUUCCUCUUUCUUUCAAUCUAACCCCAGAUAUCUACAUUGUCGUCGAACCAUUCUUAAAAGUCCUGCAAGUCAAGGGUUUCUUUCUAUUAUCAGAAACCCUAGAUUUUCUCAUCUACCUUCCCUUCAAUUCAGGUCCGCACGCUUCUCUUUCCUUUGACUUUUCUUUUUUGUCCUUUCAACUCUAUGCAUUUUCUCUGUUUGGUUCCCGAGAAACGGGAGAAAGAUAAAAUAAAUAAGGAGAAAGGAAAGUUUAAAAAAUUUCAAUUUUUUGUUAGGUAUUAGUUGAAUUUGAAUUCUCUGAUUUAUUGAUUGGUUGAUUAUGGCUUCAAAGGAAUUAAAGAGAAGUGAAUGUUAAUUUUUUUGUUUUGUUUUUUUUUUUUUUUUUUUGGAUUUAUUGGCAGAUAAAUAGUGUCAGUAUAUGUGGUUUGUUUGUUUGAAUUUGCAUUGAGUUAUGUGCUAAAGUUUUGGUUUGCUGAGUGCAAUUUUGGAUUUGAUUAAUUUUUGUUCUCUAAUUGGAGUUCAAGUACAUCAAAUUUUUGCAAGCAGGUGACGGAAGCUGCUUAAGUUUCUCCUUAUUACUUAUACUAGAUAUAUAUAUAUAUUUUUUCUCUUUUUUGCCAAGUUGCUUGCAUGGCUUUUCCGAAAUUUACCCCCUUUGUUCUUGGGGUUCAUUGUUUGCAACAGUUAUGAAUUAUUGUCGUUUAAGCAUGCUUAGUUGCUGCAAAUGUAGGAAAAAAGAAGAGGGGUUUUGGAAAUAUUGACAAUGAAUAAUGCAAUCAUUAACAAUGGUAAAUGUGAGAAUUUGGUGAAAACUACUCACACUUGCAUUCUUGAUAGUUUCAAAAUGUAUUACUACCUCCUUUCCUUUAAUUUUGAAACUUUUUGUUGUUUUUCCUACUCAGAUGACAUUUUUAGAAAAUCAAGGUAGUAGUAAUAACAACUUUAAGCUUGUCUAGAUAUCUCCAUCAAACUUUGUCUCUCUUAAUUACCAACGAUUAAUUGAAGGGUAACUUAGUCAAUCGACCUUAUUUUUUCUACAAUUGAGGUGAUUAAAUCAUUUUUUUCUUAAUUCUUAGUGAAAGUCAAAAAAUUCCAAAUUUAACAGAAUGAAGGUAGUAUACUCUAUUGAGUUCAUGUUUAUGUUUUUGGUUCUUAAGCAAUGGAAUUUGUUUAAUUUUUGAAUAUUGUAAAAAGCAUUAUGCUUUACACUUCUUCAAUUUCAUUUUCCAUUUAUAGACAAACUAUCGUUUUGAAAAUUUUGGAUUUGCACGCGUCGUAGGUUUUGUGUUGGAUAAAUCUGCUUUGCGUUAUAUCUGGUCAAAGUCUCUUAUAAUUUGUCCUAUUCUCUUUCUGACAUUGCAAAUCUUUCAGAAUUUGUUAAUUAUCGUUUCAGACUUUUUUUCUUCUACUGCAAAGUCAAGUGAAAUUUCUGUUAUUGACUGAAGCUACAAAUAAAAGAUUUCGAUAAGCAUGUCUAACAAGCAUUACAUUGUUUUGUUCCUUGUUCCCAGUUCCAAUUUCUGAACCUACAGCAAUGUCAAGUGUGGAAGAGCCACUUGGUCUUGACAAGUUGCCUAGCAUGAGUACCAUUGACAGGAUCCAAAGAUUCUCAUCAGGUGCUUGCCGGCCUAGUGCAGAUGAUGUGGGAAUGGGAAAUUUCUGGAUUGAGGGAAGGAGUUGCAGCUCAUCCAACAGUUGCGAGUAAGUGGGCAUCAAUAAGAAGAUGUAGAGACUAAAGAUUAAUGGACUGGCACUGCCAUCAUAGCCUUCAUGAACUAUAGUCAUUGCUAUUAUAAUUGUUGCUGAACCAUUAGAGCCCACCACCCAAAUGGACAUAAAGAAUAUGUACUUUUUUUCCUUUCUUUUUUUUACUUUUUUUAUUUUUUUCAAAUAGCAAAAUCAAACACCGUAAUAUUUACCAAACAUUUAUGCAAAAGCUGAAAAUGUUAAAUUAGUGUUAAAAAACAUAUCGCAUUGUAUCUGAGUUUUUCUGCUCCAUUAUUUUAGGGUCAUUGUUGUUCCUCAACAUCAUAUAACCUGUACAUAAGUAUAGCUAUUAGAUAUUUGCGCUAUCAAAUCAUUAGUGUCAUCUUGAGUACCAUACUUAAGCCUCCAUUCAUAUGCAGGGAUAAUUAUGAGGAGUAUACUAGAGAGACUUUUCCUUGGAAGAGACAUACAAGGGAUCUGUGCCAAGGUGACUCCUUUAAUCGAAGGACCAUGAGCUUAGGCAGGAAUCAUGUAGCGCGUGGAACAGGUCAGGAUUCACGGUGCUUGCCAAAUCGUCAAUAUAACUCCAAGUCCAAGUCCAAUGACAAAGACAUGCGGAAUUUAACAAAUAAGGUGAUUCAAUAACUGAUGUAGAGUUUAAUUUUUUUUUUUUUUUUUGAGAUCAUAGAUCAUAUUGAUAAUUUUCUAUCAUUCAACAAAUGAAAUUCUCUAGUCCUGCAUGAUUGCAGUUGUCCUCUGUUUCAUCAUUUAAGCUGUAGUUCAAAUACUUUAUUUUACCACUUGUUCAACUUAACUUAUUUGAAUUGUGAACUUCUAUCUGCAAUUUGGACAAAGCAGUUUUUGAAAGGAAUACCAAAUUUUGUGAAGAUAGUCGAAGUUGGUCCAAGAGAUGGACUACAGAAUGAGAAAAAUAUUGUACCUACAGAUGUAAAAAUUGAAUUGAUUCACAGACUGGUCUCUUCUGGGUUGCCAGUUGUUGAAGCUACAAGUUUUGUAUCACCUAAAUGGGUUCCUCAGGUAAUUUAUUUUAAUUGUAUAUGUCCUCAUUUUCGCAUGAAAUUAUCUUCUUGUUUAUCUUACUCUACUAAUGCUUUAUAAAUCUGAUAUUUUUGGGAAUAAUUUAAGACAACUCAAUUUUAGUCCUCAAAUCAGAUUUGUACGUAUGCACAUGGUUUUAUUUAUCAAUACACAAUUUACACCGAGUAAUCAGCUUCUUUUUAAAUUCAAUAUUUUCUUGCAAGGAGAUGAAAAUGUGUCUUUGGUCGCUUCUUUCGUACCAGGCUAUGAUAGUUCUUGGUUAUCUGAGUUUAUUUAGUUAUUUUCACAAACUUGUACGUUGUCUUUUGUUAUUUUUAUCAUUACUCAUCAUUGAACACAAACCAAGAAAAUUGUAAUCGAAAAUUUGCACCUUUAAGAUUGUACUAAAAAUUACCUGACUCAAGAUUAUGGGAAAUUACCUUUCUUAAUCUUUGACUCAGCUCUAGGCGCAUCAUUCCAUUCUUUCCAGACACCAGUUACGAAUCUGCUACUCUUAUUUUUUUCAACAUCCGUUCACAAACAAGCAAGCCAGCCAGUCUUCUUUGUGGUUGGAGUUGCUCAUUCACAAUCUUUUUCUCUUUGUUUCAUCUGUGAGUAUUACUACAGAGAGUAGCAGAGUGCUAAGUGCAAAUGACAGCAUUUAGUAUAACUUGUGAUCUGCAUAAUGUCUGAGAGCAUGAAAGAUAAUGACAUUAAUGCUUAACAAAUGCUCAUGUAUGUAAGAAAUUGAUAGUUUUAUAUUUUUAUUCCCAUGUUCUUCCCGUGUCAAAUGAGCUUCUCUUAAAAUUCUUCUUUUUAUGGUUCUCUGUUUAGUCAUAUAUUUUGGAGAUUAGUCGUGGCCUCUCUAUACCCUAUUCCUUUUGUAUGCUUUCUGUGGCCUCUUGGUUUUCUUCAUUUCCAGUUCUUAUAGUCUAUUUAUGAAUGGUAACACUUUUGACGAAACUAACUAUUGUGCUUACCACCGUGUGUUAUCCUGCUUGAGUUAUAUUUGCUAGUUAUCUAUGUUUUUCUUCAGUGAAAGUUCUGGUGUUUCUGUUUGGGGCACAUUAAGCUGAACUAGUGUUAUGACUUAGGACUUUGUAAAAUGCGUUUCUGAAAAUAAAGAAGUGGAACUGAUUAUCCCUUCAGUCAAGAAAAUCUAUUGAGCUCAGAUGGAAUUUUGCUUUGGUUGAACUAAAGCUACUACUCUCUUUGUGUCUUUGCAUCUCUAUCUCUCUCUCUCUCUCUCUCGCUUGCUCUCUCUAUACUUUAAAUAACUUUUUUGCUGAUUUAGAUAUACUACAAAGAGGAAUAAAAGUAUUGGUAUUAAUUUGAUUCUCUGAAAAGAUUUUAUAUGUGCAUUAGAAAGUUAGAAUUGCUUCUUGUCUGGAUUCUCGUGUAGGAUUUUAGCAUAUGACAUAAUUACUAAUUCUAGUAAUUUAUUUUCAACCUGAUAUUUAACAUGUUGGUUUUAGGUCUCAAUUCUUAUUUUCAGAUUUUCAAUUAAUGUUGGUGUUGGAUCUUCAAAUGUGAAGCACUCAGAUAUUGCUAGCAUAUGAUAAAACUUGAGUUCAAUUCUAUCUUACGUAAUUUUCUCUUAUGUGUAACAAUAAUAUGUAGUAUUGACAGGAAAAAAGAUAUGAUUCUGCAUUUUCUUAGUUUUCUGAUAUCCAUUUUAUUUUUAUUAAUAAAGAGCUUUUACAUGAUUGGUGUUGGCACCUAUAUCUGAUUGGUGAAGCUCAAGCAAUAGUUUUACCCAAGCCUAUCUUGGGGAGAGGAACCUAUUAACAAAAAAUUUACUAGAUUUAAUAAAUUAAUUUUGUGCUUCUUUAUUUUGUAGGAUGAUUUUAUAUAUUCUGUUUCUGCACACAAGAAUGUAACUUUGUAGGAACAUCCGGUUUUUGAUUAAUAGAUAUUAUUUCGGUUUUCAGAAUCUAGAGUUCCAUAUUAGCUGAUACCAGAGCUGACUCUUAUCACAUGCCCAUCUCACCAUUGUUUGUAGAUAUCAUCAUUAGGUCAAUGACAGUACCAACCAAAAUACCUAUCACUACUACCAAAACUGCUGUUAAAACUGAAUCAUAGGUCUUCCAGUACAACAAAAAUGGGUAAAAAAGGAAGAGCAAAACCUCGACGCACAGGCAGGAUGUCUACUGUCAAGGGUAAAAGAUCUUAAGCCAAUGAAAAGAGAGUUCUAUGUCUCAAGAGUUAGAAUUAUUCCUUGAUUCCAAAAAUUCCAAAUCAAACAUGAUAGAGCCAAGCCACAUGCUUCAAUUUUUGUGUCCCUUGAAUGUUCCUAUCCAACUAAUACGCUCUUUUUCAUAAACCAGUUCUUGGAUGGCCUCUCUCUUGAGACAUGCACAUUUUCUUUUCUUUUUCCCCUGUCUACCUUUUAUGUUCUGGUGAUGCUUGUGGAGAAUCUUCCAUGGAGUUCCUUGUGGAUGCGUAAUAUCCUUUUCUGAUAGGAAAUGAUAGACCAGAGGUGGAAUUAUUGAGGGAAAAUCAGAACAAAGACUUAAAAGGAGAGAGUGAAGGGGGUGAGAGAAAGAAUAUUAGGCUUGAGGGUGAGAGUAUUUAUUUGUCAAAUUUUGAAACUCUAUAAUGGCGAUUACCUAAAUUUUAGAUGGUUUGGACUAUAUGCUCAUAAAUAGAAUGAACAAUUUUUUUUUUUAAUAUGUAAUUGCUGAUUGAAGCACAAAAGCCAUCUACUUCUCUCUCUCUCUCUCUCUCUCUCUCUCUCUAUGAUGUUACUUCUUGUUUAUUAUUUUCAAAUUGGAUAUUAGUGAAUUCUUUUCCAUUGUAAGAUCAUUCAGGAUUAAUUGACUUGGACCUUUAUGAACUUGUUUUCAUCAUAAAUUGUAUAUAAAUAGAUGACUUUUCUUUUUUCAUUUUGUUUUUGACCUUCCCACCCCCUUUUUGACUUUGUUUUUGGUGACCUUAAACAGUUAGCAGAUGCAAGGGAUGUGAUGGAAGCAGUUCAAAAUUUGGAGGGCUCUAGAUUGCCUGUUCUGACACCUAAUCUAAAAGUUAGUAUUCCUGGUGCAUAUGCAAAGCUAUCUAACAAUGUAUAGUGGUCUAAUAGGAAUAUUUUAUGUCUGCUAAAUUGUUUGCUAGGGCUUUGAAGCAGCUGUUGCAGCUGGUGCUAAGGAAGUAGCCAUUUUUGCAUCAGCUUCUGAGUCAUUUUCAAAGUCAAACAUCAAUUGUAGCAUUGAAGAGAGUCUUGCUCGUUAUCGUGCUGUCACUAAUGCUGCUAAAGAGCGUGGAAUUCCUGUUCGUGGGUAUGUCUUCUUUUCCCUCUUGCCACGGUUCUCUCUCUUUCUUCCGCCUCUCUAUCUUGAAAUUUUUUGGGAGAUCAUAUCUUUUUGCUUCAUCUUCAUUAACCAGAUGUUGAUGAAAUCCUUCUGAUUGACAAACAUUAGAAAAUAUGGCCAAUUAUUAAGUUUUUAUCCAUCAGUUGUUAUGGUAUCAAGUUUGUCAGAGAAAAUGAAUGUCAUAACAAUUUGUGAUAGUAUUCUAUUACAUAUUUUUCACAGCAGGAUUUGUUUGUGAAUUAUCUGCUGCCAGAUUCAUCUCAGCCAAUUUUUUACAAGGAGCGCCUUACAUGCCAAGCGUGUUUCUAAGAGCUUGUAUGGAAUUAUGGGGAAUUCGUUUUCAAAUCUGUGCUGAACAUGAUUUUAAUCUCAAAACUUCACUUGGAAUUUAAUUUAUUUAUCUUUUAAUUGGUUAUUCUUAAAGCCUAAUUCUAAUACAGUUGAUAGCAUUUGCAAAGGGAUACCUAAAAAGAAUACAUAAAUUUUUUAUAUUUUUCUACAAUGACUGAAUAUUUAAAAUGAAUUCUUUCUUAAAAUGGAAGAUAUCAAACCUUCAAAUUGUUUACAGAAAGCUUUUUAUGAAAUGCAGUUAAAUAAAAUGAAAUCCAUUUCAGUUACUUGCAUUGCAUAAAUAUUAAUAUAUGUUUUAGUAGCUUAAAAAUUGAUCUUCUCAUCAAAGUUUAAAGUUGUCAAGUUUGUUUAGACUUGUAAAAUUGUCACACGGAUUUCUGCAACAAAUUGCUUUCGUGUAAUUUGGUAUGGUUGCUAGACUAGUUGAACCAUAGUAAACCAAAUUGUAAUUAUGCUCAUUAAAGGCUGGAUCCUUCAUUUUAUGGCACACUUGCUUCAGUUGCUGUAUGUGUGGACUUGUUUUUUGAUGCUUUUGUUGAAAACAAAUACCUUUUGAAUCUGCUUUUAAUUGAUUUUUUGAAUACUUUGAUAGGUAUGUAUCAUGCGUUGUUGGAUGUCCUGUGGAAGGAGCAAUUUCUCUCUCAAAAGUGGCAUAUGUGGCAAAAGAACUUUAUGACAUGGGUUGCUUUGAAAUUUCUCUUGGUGAUACAAUUGGUGUUGGUACACCUGGUAAUAAUUUAAACUGAAUUUUGUUUGAACUUACAAUCUCACACAUACUCAUGUAUAAGUUCUCAGUUAUAUUGUUAAUACUUCCAUUAUUUGUCUGUAAAUUCUCUGUAUGUUCUUGCUGUUUCAGCUCUUUCAUCUUAAUCAUAAGUAAUUUUUUCCCUGGAACUCUCACAAUGAAAUAUAUGUUUUGCAUUUUAUGGCAUUACUCUAUUUAACAAUUCAAGUUCUUCUGCAAGAAUUUAGCAAUUUCGUGGUUUUUUCAAUUUUAUUUUCAACUUCUCGUGUAUUGCAAACAUUUAUUUACUUUUCUUUUACUUUUCCAUCUGGGCAUCUUUUGUAGUACUUUUCCUUUUUUUUUUUUUUUCAAUAUUUUGUGGUACAUUUAACUUUGGCUAUUAUCUGCAAGUAAUUAGAAAUUAAAUACAUGUUUACUGAGAGCUUAUGAUGGAGUGAACAAUUGCCUUUCUUCAAAACUAGAACAAUUUGAAUUACCAUGUUGAGGAACUUAUAAUUCUUUUUAGUACUUUUCAAAUAUUACUUCCUGCUAGUUCUUAGAUCAAUUUUGGUCUUGUAAUUACCAUUUCAUUUACCUUAAUACUUUUUGUUUGAUCAGGGACUGUCGUUCCAAUGCUCGAAGCUGUAAUGGCUGUUGUUCCUGCUGAGAAGCUUGCUGUUCAUUUCCAUGAUACUUAUGGACAAUCUCUUCCAAAUAUUUUAAUCUCUCUCCAGGUAUUGAUUGGAUAUUGACUAUGUAGGCUGGUUAAGAACUGCAUGACAUUUACUCAGCUUUUCUCCGGAACUGUAUCUAAUAGCAACACCUAUCUUCUGCAAUAUGUGUGCUUAGAGUUUAAACAAGCUGAGAUGAGCUUGAACCUGCCAGGCUUGAAGCUCGGUAUGAUAGAAUUUAGCUCGGCUCGAAACUCGACGAGCCUGAAAAUUUCAGGCUUGAGUUCAAUUUGAAAAAAUUUAGGCUUGAGCUCAGCUCAAGACUUGAGUAAGUCUAAUGUAAAUGUUUUAUAUAUGUAUAUAUAAAAGUUCGAUAAGGCUUGGCGAGCUUUCAAGCUACACAUCAUUAAGCUCGAGCUCGAGCUCGAUUCAGGCUGAAUUUUUUUGAACUUUUUUUGAGCUGAGCUCGAACAGCUCGUGAGCCGACUAGGCUCAUUUACACCCCUAUGUGUGCUUACUUUGCUCUGGCUUAUGUUUUUUUAUUUUUAUGCAAUGGUAGAUAGUUCCAUAUGACUGAAAUUUUUAAAAGGUUUAGGAGGAACGUGGAGGGUGUAAACUCCUUACAUCUUGUAAUAUGAGGCUAAUACUCCACUAUUGGGCUGGUAGUCUAAUGUAAUGGCACCCAUUAGUGAUUAAAUGCCGAGUUCCCAGAAUGGAGUAAAUCGUAGCUGAAGAUCUCAUAUUUCCUAUACUAAUUGUUUUUAAUUAUUCUCUAUAUGGAGUAAAUCGUAGCGAAAGAUCUCAUAUUUCCUAUACUAAUUGUUUUUAAUUGUUCUCUAUUGGCUGAUCCAAAUCAAUCUCAAGAAACUAUAUUUUAUGUUUUAACAGAUGGGUAUUAGCACAGUGGACUCAUCUGUUGCUGGUUUAGGUGGGUGCCCAUAUGCUAAGGGUGCAUCAGGCAAUGUAGCCACUGAAGAUGUAGUCUACAUGCUUAAUGGGCUUGGUGUGAAGACUAAUGUGGAUCUACCAAAACUCCUCUCUGCUGGGGAUUUCAUAAGCAAGUACUUGGGCCGCCAGUCUGGAUCAAAGACCGCUGUUGCUUUGAGCCGGGUUACGGCUGAUGCCUCAAAGAUAUGAGAGAGUUUGCUGGUAGAUAUAUCUAUAUCAAAAUACCCUUAUGAACAAGGAAACAGUGGAUUGGUUCCUACAAUCCAUUCUCCUAACAAGUAUGAUAUAUAUAUAUGUACGCACACGAAUGUAGGUAGGAAUAAGAAAAUGCAGAGCAUGUAUCCUGUAAUUAUGAUUUCGGUGACAAACUAGUCAUUGUACUAGAAUGUGUGCUUUUUGAAGCAGAAGCAGCAUACUGUGCUGAAUAAAAAGAAAAGAAAAGAAAAAGAAAAAGAAACAGAAGUUUCUACUUUCUCUUAAUUUUUGCAUAGCAAAGGUAGAAGGGUUUCGGCUACCUUGAACAAAUGGAGAACCUGAUAAACUUGGGUACUGAAAUUAAAUUUUUGUUCAUUUAGAAGCAUUAAGCUCCAUAUUAAGAAUUAGGAGGUGGAUGAACCAUAAUAUUUUGACAGUCGAUCCAUCCCCUAUUCUCCACCAAACUUGAAUCAAACUUCUCCACAUGUAGCUGCCCUCCUUUUUACUUUAGCUUCAAUAAAAGAUGACUUAGGAUAGUUCUUAGCUUGAAGCAUCCUGGCAUACCUCAACCCUCCUUCAAACUUAUAAAAGCUCGUUUUACCCCAAGAGAUCCAAUGAAUUUUUCUUUUAUCAGAAUUUUGUCCCCACCAAAAUAUUGCCAUAAGAGCCCCAAUUUUUUUUGCAGACAUCUACUGGAGGAAAAAAAAAAAAAAAAAAAAGAUAAGACAGUGUGUAAUUCAGGAUAGCCUUGUGUUACAGUCUUCAGAAGGAUUUCUUUCUGCCUUGGAAAGUGUUUAUUUAUUUCUUUCCACCCUUCCAAUUUCUGAGCCACACUGAAACCAAUUUCAAUUUCAAUUUAAAAUAUGAAAUCAUUAAAAAUAAUUUAAUUUUGAAUUUGACCUGUUCGAAACUGAACCGUAGUCUAUUGGCUUGCAUUUCUAAUUAGAAACAAACUCUAAAAUUGAUAUUUUGUAACACUAUGAUUUGGAAUGAGAUUGCUGAACAAAUUAACAGGGCUCAUGCAUGGGGACAAGGUGUCAAAGUUUAUGGAAGUAGUUGAGAUCUCAAUGAUGACAGAGCACCACGACUUUGACCACCAAAAAAUAAAUAAGGUGAACAAAAAGUAGAAAGAAAGAAAAAAAGAAAGAAAGCCCCCCUAAUUGCUUGCCCACCAACAUAUAUUUAUUUUCUCCAACUUAAUGAUGCCCAAUGUACUCGAAGUCGCAUUUUCUGAUUCCCUUCUUUUUUGGAAUUAAUAUUUUAGUCCCUUAAAUUUGACUGGAAUUAUUAAUUUAUCCCCAUUAUUUGAUAAAUUCACUUAUUCAUCCCUAAGAUUUAACCUUAUUAAGUUAUUUAAUCCUCAUCUAUUAAGUACGAUCAAAAUAGUAAAUUUAAUGGAUUACAUAGUAAAAUUAAAAUUAAAUAUAAAACAUCAAAUAGUAUAAAAUUAAAAUUAAAUGUAAAAGACCAAAUAUCGAAUAUCAUAAGAUAUGUAGUGAUAAAAAAUGAUACUGUGAUAAAUGAGAUUAAAUCGGUAAUUUAACUCUCCUUGCCACGUUGGACAACUUACAUUGAUUAAUAGUCAUGUUAUGUAAGCGAACGCGUAGGUAAAUAUGAGCCGCACUUUGUCCUAUUAGACAAUUUGGCUGAACAUUUCAUCAAGAGACAUCAAAUUAAAAAAUUAUAAAUUCAUACACUCAAUUGUAAUUAUUUUCCGUUCAGACGACAAAAUAGAAAAUAAAAAAAGAAAUUUAGACACUAAAAGUAACAUUAUCCCUGUACAUAUUGGACUUUUUAGACUACUUGUCUAAAAUUGAACAGUGGGAAGGAAAUGUAUCUUUAUUCUGUACAAUUGAUAUAGCUUAACAUUAAAAAACAUGUCGAUGACCUAUUGUUCAAGCUAAAGCUAAAAAAAGACAUUCCUUUCCUUUAGAACCAAGCAUGGCACUCCACAGUAAAGUACCAACAUAAAGUUGGUUUUGUAGCCUUCAAUUGAUAUUCUCUCCUUUGAUACAUCAAAAUUAAUUAUUGGAUUUUUAGUUACUUUGUAGCUACUUGUAUUUAUAGAUUUACUAGAAAUUCAUUUCAGUUAUUUGCUUUCUUUUGAUAAGAAGUAUAAAGGAGUUAAGAGCUCGUGAUUUAUUUAAAAUUUGAUUCUAAAAAAAUUUGUUCGAAGUUUAUUAAAUUAAAUGAGCCAAUUUGAAGCUCAAUUUUCAAACUCUUUUAAUAAACGCGUUAAGUAUUAAGUAUUAAGUUUAAGUAAAGUAAAAUAAUGUGACUCGUUUUUAAAAUUCAGGUAGUUAUGUUCAUACCAUUUAUUCCUAUAAUUCACAACUUAAUACUUAAUAAUUUUGUGAUCAUGUGAAAAAUAAAAAUAAUAGAUAAACAUUUCUUAUUAACAGAUAGGGGUUGGAAAAAAGAUGUCUCUUCAUCUUUAUAAUCACAAACUGACAUUUACAAAUUGGUAAUAGGAUUUGGGUUGGAGGAAGAGGUGGAUUUUGGAGAAGUAUAAUUUCCAACUUUGAAUGAUUAAGUUGACAAUGAAAAUGACUGGAUUGGGAUUUGGAACGAGUAUGUCAUUCUGUCAAUUUUUUAUUUCUUUUUUCGUCAAUAUAUAAAUUACUAUUCUAUCCAUAUAUUUUGUCAAAAUUAACUAAUAAAUGCUUGUACUUAUUGGCUAUUUUAUUCGUUCAUUUUGCUUAUAUUAAUUAAUAUAUCCCUGUAUUUUACGAAAAAGUACAAAAACAGAAAAUAAACAAGCAAAAAUCCUAUUUUUUAAUUUCAAAUCAUUAUUUAUCCAAUUGAAUGAAAUAAGAUUUUCAAAAUAAGAAAUAAACAAGCCAUGGAUAAAAAGGAUAAAAUUAUAUAUUUUGACAAAUAAAAAAGUAAUUUUUCAAAAAAAAAAAAAAAUCACUACAAGAAUUGCAGAAUUACCGACAAUAUUAUAAUAUUCAAAGAAGAAAUCACAUUUUAGCAAAUUAAAAAAUCAAACAUUGAAAAUAAUUUAUAAAAGUAGGACCUAUUUAGUGGUUUAUGAUGUAGAAAAUGUUAAAAGUUACCGACAAUAUUAUAAUAUUCAAAGAAGAAAUCACAUUUUAGCAAAUUAAAAAAUCAAACAUUGAAAAUAAUUUAUAAAAGUAGGACCUAUUUAGUGGUUUAUGAUGUAGAAAAUGUUAAAAGUAUAAUCAUGAGUAUACGGACUUAGAAUUACUUCUUGAAAUUGAAAUGGUAAUUAGUAAUAAAGGUGAGAUAUUUGAAUAUUUAAUUCUUGUUCAACAACAUUAUCAUACUGUCCCUAUAAAAAUAUAUUAAUCAUAAAUUUUCAAAGGAAUAAUAUUUUGAAGGUAUGUCAAAUUGAAUUUACGGCUUUUUGUCAUUAUAUAUAACAAUAACAAUAACAAUAACAAUAGUAAUUAAUUCUUAAUCUUAAUCUUUUUCAUAAAUCUUUUUUUUUUCCAAUUUAAAUAUGUACUAAUAUCGAAAAGUAGUAGAUCUUUUAAAACAACUUCCGAAAAUAUAGUUAGUACACCUUGAUUUUAUUAGUUAAGAUAAUAAUAAAAUAAAUUUAUUUGUCAGAGUUGAACUAAUAAGUUAUAUAUCUAAAUUUUCAAACUAAAUUUUAUUUAAAUGAAAAAGUUUCGUUUUACAGAUGAUUCAAUAAGCUAUAUAACUUAUUAGAUGAAAAGACAAAAUCAUCCACCUAUAAUUAUAAAAUAAUAUAUAAUAUAAUAUUUCUUAAUCAGUCAGGCAAUUGCUUUUGAUAUCGAAUUUUAAUUAUUCAAUUUAAUAAGUUGUUAAUUCAAAUUCAGUCUACAUAAAUUACUUCUAAAUCAACAUUAGGGUACCAUAUUUAAGAACCUCAGAUUAAUGGACAUGAGCUUUUGUCUGUAGUAUUUAAAAUAAUUAAAAUGUUUGAAUUUUGUUGUCUAUGUGGAUGAAUAGUCGGAGCUAUCAAUUAAAUAUUGAUGCAGAGAAAUGCUAUUUUGUUUUAUUAUAACGAAACAUAACAAUAACAACUUGUAUUUUAAAAAAUUAACUCCUUAGUCUUCGUGUUUUGGAUUAUCGGAGUUAUUAUACAGUGAAACUGUGAUUCUAUUUACCUAAAAUAUUUAAUAUUAAUCAGAGAACUAAAUAGUAAUUCACCCUUAAUUUAAUUAUAACCUUCACUUUGAUGGUGUUAGAUAAACAUAUAGAAAAAUAUUUAUUUUAUGAAAUUUUAGUUAUAUUGACUAUUGUGAUUUGUACUUAUUUUAAUAAUUACCACAUAUACCAAGUGAAUUGGACUUAAAUUUUCAAAUCAUUAAUUGAAAAUUGAUAUAGUUUGUUAAUCAUCAUUAUGAUCUUUGUACAAUUUCAUAAUUACUUACAGUGCAAAAAUGGUACCUUCUUUGAUUAUAAUGCUCAACAAAUGAAAAAGCAGGUUGAUUGUAAGAUAAGAAAAGAGAAAUGUUGAGGAUAAAAAAAUUGUUUUAUAUCUAUUUACGAGCUGUGGCUCGGUUGAUAAUGCAGACUAGACAUAUGAAAAGAGCUCUCGAAUUCAACCCUCACUGAAAAAAUUGUUUUAUAUCUAAUUAUUAAUUAACAACUAUCACACCUGACAUUACAACCUAUAAUGAAGCAAAAAAGUACCUUGCAUUGCACAUAUCCUAGUUGUUUCCCACACUCUCUUUUCUCAUAUGUCCUUGGAGCCAUAUUUUUUUUUUUUUGUUAUUUUUAUCCUUUUUUGUUCAAUUAUUUUUCAAUAUAUAAUGAGAUAAUUUACCCUAUUUCUUUAGGUUUUAUUUUCUAUCAAAAAUUACUUGAUAAUUUUGAAGUGAAGUCAAUGAGCUAUUAUAGGUCCAAUUAAUUUAUAUUGGCAAUUUUAAAUUUUAUAGUUGAUUUAUUUUAUAAAUGUUGUAUGAAUAAAAAAGAAGAUAAUUAUUUUAAAGAAAAUAUGUAGAUCAAAAUCAUUUCAUAUUCUCAUAGUACACAUCAAAAUUUAUAUUCAUAAUGAUAAAACAAGUUGAAAUUUUGUUGUGAAGACACAUAUAUAAUCAAUUACUUAUGAAUGUUAACAACCCAUUUUGUCUUGGCAGGUGGCCUACCCAACUGGCUAAGGUACUAUAAUAUCAAAACUUCACCCACAUUUUGAUUUUAGAUAAAUUUAUAAACUUUAAAAUUUUUCAAAAUGAACUAUGGUGGAGAAAAUUAAGAAUGUCAUUGUUAAUGUCAAGAGAAAAUUUUUAUGCUACAAUUAUUUUUAUAAUUUAAGUUCAUAAUUAUUAUUCACUUAUCAAAUGCCUUCACAAUCAAUUAUAACAAGUCCUGUACCCGCGCAAUGCGCGAACUGUAUAAUUUAUAUUUGUGUUGUUUUAAUUUAAAUAAUUUGCUUAUUUAUUUUUCAAACUUUUUUUAGUUAUCUCCAUUUUAUAUGGGUUUGUGAUUUCUACAUUUUCAUGUGCCUAUAAUUGUUUCUUGUUUUGGGUAUAUUGUUUUUAUUUGGACGGAUGUGAAAUUUGCAAAAAAUUUAUUAAAUGGAUGAUAAUUUUCAUUUUUUGAAGUUUGACUGUGCAACUUAUUCUUCGAUUGGAUUUAGUUGUUUAAAUUUUUUGUAUUCAUCAAAAGCAAUUAGUUAACAUAUAAUUAGGUUAUAUACAAAAGAUUUAGAGAGUUUGUUUAAUUAGUUACUUUGAAGGUCCAUCGAUUUUUUCAAGUCACCUUUCAUUCAAGUCAAGCGUUUCUUUAACUGGAAAUGCUGUAAUGAAAUUUGACGUUGAUAGACAAAAAAAAAAAAAAAAAAAAAAAGAGUAUAGCCAAGUUAAUAAAUUAAAAUUACAAAGCAAACAAUGAUAGGAUCUAAUUUUGUUUCUCUAUUUUUUUAAGUUACAAAUUUAAAAGAAAUAAGUUAAUUAAUUAAUAAAAAGGAUUACAUAAAAAAAACGUUUUAUCAUCGCCAAAUAAACCAUUAAUUUUUCCAACAACUAUACAGAAAAGGAAGAGUAUAUUUUUUCUUUUCUUUUUUAUUAUCUAUAUGUAUUUAUUUAAAAAUAAUUUUUAAAAUUAUAUCCAAUUAAAUAAUAAAAUGCAAUUUUUCUUCUUCUUCUUUUUUUUUUUUUUUUGGUCUUAAACACGUGCAUUCCGACUCCACUGGGCUAGAACUAAAUCCUGCUCGCACUGAGUUGGUCUAAGAAGGGAUAAAAUGCUAUGAGCGAGUAUUUAUUUUAUCCAUGAGGAUCGAACCCUCAAUCUCACUUAAGGGAGGAUAAUGCGGAAUCACUCAUCGAAAUACUAAUUGGUAUAAAAUGUAAUUUUCGAAUUGACUGCGACUAAAGUUAUUUUAGGAUAUUCUAAAUUUCAUUAAGGACGAUAUCAGAAAUUCCAUUAUUCCCCUCAUUUUUACAUUUAAAUAUAGUAUAGAUAGAUUAAUUUCCAUCCUUAUUUUAGUUGCUUUUAUUGGCAUUUGGAAUUUACAAUAGCACAUGGUCUUUAAUUCCUUCUCCUUCCUUGUGGAUUGGAGAAAAUUGCUUCUCUUCAAAAUGAUGAGUUUUUUUACAUGAUACUUUCAAUUCUCUAAUACUUUAGUCUUAUCAAUGAUUAGCACACAAAUUUAUCAUUUUUUUUUUUGUUAUUUAACUUCUAACGUUAAAAACUAUUUUUGAUAGAUUAUAUUUUUUAUCAUAAUUAUUAUUAUUUUUUGUUUGGGAUUAAAUUCUUUGAAAUUAAUAAUAUUGAAACACUUGUAUUAUCUAGAAAAGGAGAAUGUUAAAUUUUGAAUUUUUGUAUUUGUUUUAUUUAAAAUCAUAAAUAUAUACUUCUUUAUAUACAUAGAGCUUUUGGAUGCCUUUUAGAGGCUAACUAUUACAUUAUUCAAACUAAUGUAUUUCAAAUUUUUUUCUUUUUUGAAGUUGUAAUUUAGGGAGUUUAACAAAUUAAUUUUGAAUAUUAAACAUUGUAUUCAUCCUAUUGCAGUAUUUAACAAAUUAAUUAAUUUUAUAAUAGAUAGGAUGGAUUUUUAAUUGUAUCUUAUGCUAAAUUCUUAAAAAAGUACUUCGUAAUAUAAUGAGAGAUGAACUAUUGAAUGAUUAUUUAGUGACUUAAUUAUAUUGAAAGAGGCGUAUUUAUAAAUAUUGAUAAUGAAAUUAUUAUAAACAGAUUUGAGCUAAUGUUCCCAGUAGAGUAGAAGAUGUAAUGGAUGAGAUUUAUAGAAAUUUAAUUAUAACAGUUUAUUGCUUUUUAUAAGAAAUUCCCAUUAUUUAUAUCUAUUUUAUAUAUAUCAUUUUUGUAAACUAUAUAUUUUAAGUGAAUCUCCUCGUUGAAUCCUGACUACGUCUUUGGAUUCACAUAGUUAAAUCAAAUAAACCCUUAAACUUAGAUCUAAAUAAAAAUAAUGUGCAUCACUAAAUUAUAUUUGUGUACCAAAAAUAUUUUAUGUUCCAUUCUAUUUGUUUGUUAUUCCUUUUUUGGAUGUUCCAAAGUAUUUGCAAGAUUUCUAAAUAAUUAUUUUUUUUUUCAUAAUAACUUUUAUAAUUAUUCAUUAAAUGAAAGAGUUUUAUUAAUAUCUUAAUAAGUUAAGGAUAAAAAAAGAGCAAAAUAAUAUUUAUUAAUUAGAAUUCUUAAUAUGUUUGUUUUGUCAAACCAUGAAAACAAAAUGGGACGGGUGAUUUUUUUUCGAAAGCUUAUUUGAGACCUUGAUAUAUUUACUUUUCUAUCUUAUAAUGGAAGUCAAUGAAUCAGAAUCUUCUUUUUAUCAAUAACAUCCUUUGAAUAUUUUACAUUAAUUUCAAUGGAAAAAUUGAAAAAAUUUAUUUCAACCAAAAAACUAUUUUGUAAUCUUAAGUAAUAUUUACAGAAAGAUUUCCUUUUUUCAUUAAUUAGGUUAAUUUUUUUACCAAGUUUUCAGGUUACUGGGUCCUCCUGGUAACUUUGAUGCAUUAGCUUUUUCCUUUGUGAAUGUGAUGAUAUAAAGUGAGUGAAGACAACAUCAUUCUCUUUAAGAAAAAAAGGAUCACUCCAAACACUCAUAUGUAUAUAUAUUCAUCCUCCAGCUUUUCAUGGCCCAGUAUAGUCAGCUCCUCCUGCCACUUUGACCAUUUUAAUUGAUUUGAUCUUCAUUACACUUCAACUUGAUGGCUUCAUAUUUCAUAGUAUACUCGUAGAUUAAAUUUUAAUUUAUACAUGAAAAUAUUUUCUCAUUAUAACCUAAUGUAUUUUUGGUUUCAUUAUUGAGCUAGAACGGUCGGUUUAAUUUUAUGUCUCUUAAGAAAAUUAUUAAAUUUGUCUAAAUUACAAUAAAUUAUUGAGUAAAUUCACUAUGUUACCCUUAAUUUUACUAAUUCUCUAAGACAACCAUUAAAUUGAAUAAUAAUUAUUGGUCAUGUAUAAAUGAAAAAUAUGAAAAAAAAUAUUUAUUAUUUCUGAAAACCAUAAAUGUGACAAGUAUUUUGAAAUAAAUUAUUUUAUUAAAUGUAAUAAGUAUUAUGAAACAGUACAUGUAAUUUUCAAAUUUUAAUGGGCAUUAAAUAUUAAUAAGACCAUUUUGUAGAUAAAGAUAAGAUCUCGUAUACUUAAUUUCAAUAACUUUUUUAGGUUACAUUUAGUUGACCCAAAUGAGUCCUCAAGUUUAUAAAUAAAACAAAAUUUAAUUAACACAAAACAACAAAUACCAAAGAUUUAAAUUCAUGAAGAAAUAUCAUGUGAAUUGAAAGGUCUUUUUGGUGUAUUAUUGAAAUUAUUGUCAAGCAAUUACUACCUUCAAGAGUUAAAUAAGAAUAUUAAAUUUUUUUGUUAAAUAAAAAAAAAAGGGAAGUUGCUCUAUUAUAUUUUUUAUUAGUAUUUCAGUGUGAAAAGAAAAGAAAAGAAAAGAAAAGAAACUUAACCUUGUUGCAGAAGUUACUACUUACAAAAUAAAGUCAAAACAUUCAGUAGUAAUAACUCUGUCUCUGUUUCUGUCUCUCUCAUACUCUCUCCUGUUGUAAAUAUAUGCAGCACCAGAACCAAGUAUCACCCAAAGCUCCAACAGAAAACACCAUCAUCACCACCAUUAGUAGUCUCUCAUUUUCUAGUUCCCCAAACAAGACAUAUAUACGGGCUCUGAAAUAAUCUAACUACCCAAACAACCUCUGCACCAUAUUUAUUUCUCUUCUGGCACCAAACCCUAUGCAUGUUGACUCUCUCCUUCUUCUCUCUUUUUAACUUCCUCCAUUAACUCCACAUUUUUCUUUUUUUUAUUUUAAGGAAAAGAAAAACAAAAGCUACAAAUCUCUCCUUUUCACCUUUCUAGUACUUUUCUUGAGUUUGCUAUAGCUGCUUUUUAAAUUCAAAUCAAAGAAAAGAAAAUUCUCAUUUCUUUUCUUGUUUCUCUUUAGGGUUUUAGGGCCAAGAUUUUAUAUACUACUAGUAUCUACAACUACAUACAUAUAUAUAUAUAUGUAAAAAUGCUCUUUGGUGGGUUUUAGAGAGUGAAGCUGCAAAUGGGUUCAAGAAAAAGACUUAUUAUCACUUUCUUCUUUGCUUUCUUACUUUUGGUAGUCUUACUUUUCAGAACUUCAUCUUUUCCAAAUGGGUCUUCAAGAUUUGGAAGCUUCAAAAGUGGGUCUAUUGAAUCUCAUGUUGCCCAUGGAAAUCGAGGAGCUAGUAAAGAAGAUGGUGAUGAUCCACUUUUGGGUGAUGAAAAGAGGAAAAUCCAUACAGGUCCAAAUCCUUUGCACAAUAGAUAAUUAGAAGAGACAAAUUAAUUUUGCUUUGUGUUUAAUUUAAUUAGCUGUUCUUCUUCUUCAGUUUUUUUUACAUGAAACUAGCUAUGAAAAGUGUUAAUUAUUACAUGUAUAUUUUAUGUUGAAAUUAUUAUAUUGUUAGAUCUUUUUUUUUGUUUGUUUGUGAUGACAAUAUUAUUGUAUUGUUUAUAUAUUUAAGGAUGUAUUUUGUUUUUUUAGUUUUCAAUUUUCUGUGAGAAAAAAUAAAUAUUAGAAUGUACAGAAAAA
rnacentral:lncRNA from 1 species